GUCAAAAACGGAGUUGACGUUCGCCCUGGUUCUGUCAAACCCGCCGGCUCGCUCCUCCGUGCCAAGAUGGCGGCAGAAGCAGCUGGUGGGAAAUACAGAAGCACAGUCAACAAAAGCAAAGACCCCUCGGGGCUGCUCAUCUCUGUGAUCAGGACUCUGUCCACUAGUGAUGAUGUGGAAGACAGAGAGAAUGAGAAGGGCCGCCUUGAGGAAGCCUAUGAGAAGUGUGACCGUGACCUCGAUGAGCUUAUAGUGCAGCACUACACAGAGUUGACAACAGCCAUUCGCACCUACCAGAGCAUCACCGAACGCAUCACUAACUCCCGGAACAAAAUAAAGCAGGUAAAAGAAAAUCUGCUUUCAUGCAAAAUGUUGUUGCACUGCAAACGGGAUGAACUUCGGAAACUGUGGAUUGAAGGAAUUGAACAUAAGCAUGUCCUGAACCUGCUCGAUGAAAUUGAAAACAUCAAGCAAGUACCUCAAAAGCUGGAACAGUGCAUGGCCAGCAAGCACUAUCUCAGUGCCACUGAUAUGUUGGUGUCAGCAGUAGAGUCUUUGGAGGGUCCCCUGCUCCAGGUGGAAGGAUUAAGUGACCUCAGGCUGGAGCUUCACAGUAAGAAGAUGAACCUCCACCUGGUUCUCAUAGAUGAACUACACCGGCACUUGUACAUCAAAUCCACUAGCCGAGUUGUGCAGAGUAACAAGGAAAAAGGGAAAAUGAGCUCUCAUGUGAAGGAUACCUCUCCUGGCCCUCUGAUCGAUGUUACAAACCUCCCUACUCCACGAAAAUUCCUAGAUGCUGCUCAGUACUCUGCUGCUGGAAGCUCAGUUGUGAGAGACAUAAACCUUCAGGACAUCAAAGAGGAUUUGGAAUUGGACCCAGAGGAGAAUAGCACCCUUUUCAUGGGCAUCCUUAUCAAGGGGCUGGCCAAACUGAAGAAGAUCCCGGAGACAGUUAAGGCCAUCAAAGAGCGGUUGGAGCAGGAACUAAAGCAGAUUGUGAAGAGAUCCACCACACAGGUGGCAGACAGUGGCUAUCAGCGGGUAGAGAACCUCACUGUGGAGAACCAACCCAGGUUGCUUCUAGAGCUGUUGGAGCUACUGUUUGACAAGUUUAAUGCUGUAGCCUCUGCGCACUCCGUGGUCCUGGGGUAUCUGCAGGAUGCUGUUGGGAUUCCGCCGACUCAGCAGGAAGAGAUCAAAUUGUAUGAUAUGGCAGAUGUGUGGGUAAAGAUCCAAGAUGUGUUGCAGAUGCUGUUGACAGAAUACUUGGACAUGAAAAAUACUCGUACAGCUUCAGAACCAUCAGCUCAACUCAGCUAUGCUAGUACUGGACGAGAAUUUGCAGCCUUUUUUGCCAAAAAGAAACCACAAAGGCCAAAAAAUUCGCUUUUCAAAUUUGAAUCAUCGUCCCAUGCUAUCAGUAUGAGUGCCUAUUUGCGAGAGCAGAGAAGAGAGCUCUACAGUCGGAGUGGAGAACUUCAAGAAUUUUGAUAUGAUGGCUGCAGUUUAAAUCUAGAUGCCAUCCUGGAUUGAGGCCAUCUUGAAAUUGGAAGCUAAGCUAAGCUGAGCAUUAAUGUGGUUAAAGGAGAAUGGAAUUUUGAUCUCUGAUGACCUGCAGUCCAACCCUGAACACUGUACCUUCAAAUUGAAGAAAUAAAUAUGUCUUGUUUAACUAUUUGUUUUUUAAAAAUUUUUUAAGCAAAUUUUGUUAUUUAUAUUGAAGAUGUCAUUUUCUGUCAUUUUAAAGAAAGAUAUAAGCCUUUUGGUUAUAUUCAUUAAUGACCUUAUAGGUUCAUCAUAAAUAAUUUUGCAUUAUGACUGAAUCUUUGUUAUACCUUUUCUUUUUUUUUUUCUUUCUGCUUAGUAAAAUACCAUAUUUUUAAAAAUACCUUUAUUGAAGCAUACUAAGUGUAACUUAAAAUUUGUGUAUUUUAAGUGUACAAUUUAGUGAUUUUUAAUGAAUUUAGUUUUUAGUUUUUAGGGUUGUCUUAAUAUAUAUUUGCCUUAAUAUAUAUUUGCCUUAAGAUAUAUUUUUAGACCAUUUAUAUGAUCUCUCAAGACCAUUUACAGUAAAACCUCAGUCCAGUCAUAGACAAUUUUAUUAAGUUGUGGUAAGUGCAGAAUCCUUUGAAACUAAAGAGUACAGAUUAUAACUUAGUCUGUAGACUCAGAAAUCUGCUCGGAGGAACAUCUCUGAAAGACCCUUGAGGUGGGUAAGUAAAGAGAGAUGGGGCAUAGGUGAGGAAAAGCAUUCCAAAGGGAAGAGAAUUGUGAGUACUCUGAGUCAGCAAGGAGAUCUAGGUAUAUUGCUCUCCAAUUUGCUGGACAGUAAUUGAGUAGAGGGGAAAAUUGGUUUUUCCAUUGAGUGUGGUUUUGUAGUUGGCUCAGAGCCUUUCUCAUGAUUAUUCAUUUAUGUAUAUAAUGUAAUAUCUAACAUUUAUUGUAACAAUUGUUAUACCCUGGUGUGUUCUUGGUGGUUUAUAUGUAUUAAAGCUUAUUAAAAAUAUUUUGUUGUUAUUGUGUCAUCAGUUUAAUUAAUGUAGUUCUGAUAUUCAGCUCACCAAUAUUGCUAUAACAGUGGUUUUUUUCUUUCAUGUAAUUUCUGAGGAACUUAUUUCUAGAAUGGAUAUUCCAGAAAUCUUGAUGAAGAAAUGCUUUUGAGCAGCAUUAGAUACAUCUUCAGGGUAUAACAGGAAGAACUCUUCUUCCUGCCUCUUUACCCUGGUCGUUGUUGUUGGGAAUGAACCAGGGGCCUCGUGCCUACUCAGUACACACAGUACUACUGUGGUCCAGCUCCAGCCCACAGUAACAUUGGUCUUACUUAAUGUUUGGUCAUUGUGCUGCAAAUAGAAUAUAUAUUGUCAUUAGCAAAAAAAUAAAAAGUUCAGAACAGUUGUGACUGCAUGAGAGGAGUGUUAAGAUUAAUAGAAAGUGUAGUAGGGUCAGGAGCUAUGGGAACUCCAAAAUAGCUCAGGUGAGAAAAUACUUUGCAGAGAACAAAGGAGAAAUGGAAAUGCAAAUGGUGAUACAUGUUAUCAAUUUUCUUCUGAGAUAGUAAAAAGAAACCUACAAAUUAUAAAUAUUCGGAAAAAAUUGAUGUGUUUUAUUCAGUGCAACAUUCUCAUCACUUGUGAAUCUUGUAUCAAAAUAAUUUUGAACUCACAUUAGAAUUACUCUUUAAUUUGAUAUGUACACAGCAUUUAAAUUUUAUAUGUAAUGAAACAUUCUAAAGUUAGUAACUUAGAACAGUAAAAACGUACUCAUUGUUCCUUCAUCUGGGGUUGCCUGGGCAGAUUUUAGGAUUUGCACUGGCUCAGCUGGGUUGGCUGUUUUAGGAUGGUGCCUAAUUUUUAGCUGGGGCCUUUCUCUACAUUAACUGUCAUCCCUCAAGUGAUUAGCUGGGGCUUGUUCAUGGAAAUCAAGCUCCCUGUGUUCAAGCAGUUUUUUAGGUUGAGCUUGUAUCACAUUCCAUGUCUCACAGUUUAACCAAAGAUUCAUAGGGUGGAGAAAUGUACCCUUUUUGCUGAUGGGAGGUGCUGCGGAGGUCCUAGUGAAAAGUGAGGUAUGUGCAGCAAUGAUCUAAAAAAUCUCCUAUACUAUAUUCAAGUAUUUAAGGGUAUUUCUACCCUCUAUCCAGUUUUUUCCAUCCUCAUAGCAUAAUUUUAUAGGUUUCUGUUCCAAGGAAACUGUGUGACAUAUAGAAUGUCACAUUCAUUGUAACACAAAAUACUUGAUGGCAGAAACUCAGAUAUUAUUAUAUUCAUGUUCAUAACAGCAUUACUUAUAAUAGGGAAAAGAUAGAAGAAAGCCAAGUGUCCAUCAGUGAUAAACCGAACAACAAAAUAUGGUAUAUUCAUAUAAUGGAAUGUUAUUUAGUCUUAAGAAGAUGAGAAAUUGUGAUACAUGAUAUAACAUGAAUAAACUCUAGAGACAUAGUGAACAAAGCUAGUUAGAAAAAGACAAAUAUUGAGUAAUUUCACUUACGUGAGGUCUUUAGACUGGUCAAAAUUAAUCAAAACAAAGUAGAAUUGCCAAGGGGGAAGAAUAAAGAAUUAUUAUUUAAUGGAUAUAGUUUCAGUUUAGGAAGAUGGAAAAAGCUGUAAAAAUGGAUGAUGGUGAUGACUGCACAAAGAAUAUGAAUGCACUUGGUGAAUCCCAUUUCCUGUUUGCCCUAAGAAUAUUCCGGGGUGAUGUCUGUGGCUACAGCCUUUACUUAACCUCUAGAUACCCAUAGUUAUGUUUCUAACUUUUUUUAUGGAUCAUGUAAAUUUCUGUUUCUUUUUAAUUAAAGGCAGUUCUACUUACAGACAACUCCAAGAACAGUUUUUAUAUUUUAUUUUUGCAUUGAAACCAGAUUUAGUUCAGCCUCAAAGAAUGUUUUUUCUUUGUAAAAUUAAUGAUAAUAGAAAGCUGCACGUUUUUCUAAACUGGAAGUGCCAUUGCACUACAGACUUAAAAUUGUUAAAAUGGUGAAUGUUAUGUUUUGUAUUCCAUUAUUGCAAUUAAAAAAUAUAUUCACUGCAGCAAUAAAAAGUUGGCAUGCUAACUAAAUAUUUAAUAAUAGAUAAAUUAUAUUUUAUCUAAGUUUAAGAAAGAGAUACUUUAAACAUAACAGCAAUUAAUAAGAGCAAAUACUUAUGUCAUGAAAAUGAUGCAUAAAUUUAAAUGUGACAACCUCAACUGUAAAUAAAAUACAUAAAAACUGGUGUAUUUUACCUUUCAAAAUGUAAGAAAACUUACUUAAAAAUAACCAGAGAACAUAAGUCACACCAAAGAGGAACCCAUUAGACUUUGUCUUAGCGAAAUAGUUUGUGAUUUAUUUAUGUGCUGUUUCUCAUACAUUCAUGACUUUAAUAAUGUAAUAAUGGAGCAGAUUUACUUUUCUUUAAAACUGAAUAUAAGAAGUUUAUUUCAUGACUCUUGUUGAUUAAAUCAAAGUUAGCAAAGGUAUCAACACUAGUAUUUGUACCUUUAUGUCAUUUAGUAAGUUUUAAGAAAUGACAUGAAUUUUAAUAUUAAUAAACAAUGCCAUAUACUUUAAAUUUUAAAACCAUCAACUUGGUAAAAAUUAUUCCAACAAAACAUCCAAACCAACCCCUAAACUACAGAUCUGGGCCCUUAUCCUUUUUGAGUGUUGUGCUUUUUAUGGGCCUUGAGUCUGUUGGAGGUGUAUAAUACGUGUUAUUUGUUUAAUUUUCAGCCAUAACUUAACAAUAAUUUUUCUCUAUGGUCGGCUUUACACAGAAUAAAUUUCAGGAAGUACAUAACAGCAUCUUCUGCAUGUACAUAGAGAUAUAAUAUGAUGGAGUGAUCAAAUACAAAUGCUUCUUUAAUUUAUUUUACCAAGACGUUUAUCCAUGUUUAAUUUAUAAGGCAAUUGAAGUCAUUUAUUUUGUAUGGAACUCUUUCUCUUCUGAAUAACAAAUAAUAUAUUAUCAUAUAUGCUGCAUUAGAGGAUGUAGUGAUGAAAGCCAUACAUGAAAAUAAAAGUUUAAUAUUUUGGGCUCAUUGGGCACAAUUAUACUGCAACUGGCCUUGUUUUCAACUGAACUAUAAUUGUGUAUGCAGAUUCUUAAAAAAUUGGGAUGGCAUUUAGCAGAUACAAGUGUGGAAAACAGAAAAUUCUUUGUUCAAAGGGAGAAAGAGUACGUGUAGUUGUAGAGUAUUCUAAAUGCACAAAAUCUACCUCAAUAAUACCUUGUUUUAAAAUCUUUGCUUGCACAGGUUUUGUUUCAUUUUAUCCUUGAGUGCAAUGCAGUGGGGACCCAGUUACCCAAGGCUCUUGGAUAUGGCCUUGUGAACACCAUGACCAAUUGGUUGGAUUCUAACUCUUCAGAUACUAGCUUGUAGGAAAGGCUUUGACAACCUUCCAAUUUGGAAACAAGUUAAGUUGACCAUUGGUAUUUAACUGAGUCAUUUCCCUUUGUUUCUGUUGCCUGAUAACAGUAAAAAUAUACCUAAAGCUACCAUGUCCUAUUAAUAAUUAUUUAUAUUCUCUUAAAAUUAUAGCUAAUGGAUAUAAUAUGCCACAGUGUCAUAUAUACUGAUUACUUAAGACUACUACUAGUACAAUAUUUUAAAAGAUAAGAUCAGGACAGAAAGAAAAGUUUACUGUUCAGAACUUCAAAAAGUAAACAACAGAUAAUUAGCUUGUUGUGCUAAAGCAGACUCUGUAUUUUAAAUUUAAUAAGUUUAUAUAAAGUAUACAUAUGUAUUUAAUACCUCAUAUAAACUAGUGUGAAGAGAUCCAUGUAACAAGAGGUAGUAGUUUACUGCCAUGCUCUUCCAUAUGGUUGUAGACAUCUAUGAGAGACAUAUAAUCUAACCUGAAAAUUAGAGUAUAAACGGUCUUUCAAAUCUUACUGUAAAAAUCCUUUCUAUGAGUUCAACACUUUGAAAGUAUCUGAGUAACCCACUAUUUCAAGAAUAUCUCUUAUGUAAAAUAUUGAACUGUCCAAACAUAACUCAUAAUUACAAAAAUACUGGAUCAUGAUUGUUAUAAUAACUUUGAGUCUUUUAUGAUGUUAAUCUAUUGACGGGUCAUUUGAAAUCCAUCUAAUGGUGCUUUUAACUUAAGGUACCUUGUAAGUGUGAAAUUGACUGACUUGAAGUGUCAGUUAUUGCUAGUUGACUUGAGUUACUGUUAGUUCCUACUUUCAUACUGUGCGAGCUAUGGUUCUUGAACUGUCUCAUGGUGUCCCUUUCGUGGUGCCUUUGGUAGAAUUUUGGGUUGAGGAAAAUGUGACUCUUGAUAAUGUAGUUGCUCAAUAUCUCUUUUCCUUUCUCUGGUAGGUCAGUAUUUCUAAGGUCAAAUUGGUUGCUGGCAAUUAUUUCUAUUGAGACUUAAUAGGCCAUCUUAAUUUUUUUUGUUUGGUUUCACAUAUUGUCCAGGUUUCUAAGUGAAAAUGAGGCAGUGUGAUUUUUUUAAACAUUUUUAUAGCUUUCAGAACAAUAUGUAUAUGUUUCUUAGAAAAUUGUUUCUCAUAGUGGAAUUUAUGAUAGUUUUUGUUUGUUUGUUUGGUUUUGUAUUUUGAGACAAGGUCUUGAUGUGUAGUUCAGGCUGGCCAGUGUUCACUGUAUAGCCCAGGCUGUUCUCAAACUCAUGAUGAUCAGCCUGCCUCAGACUCUUAAGUACUGGGAUUACAAGUGUGAACCAUCCUUCCUGGCUCUGCUAGAAUUUUUUAGGGUCACAUCAUUAUUUUCUUUUUAUUCUCUCUCUCUCUCUCUCUCUCUCUCUCUCUCUCUCUCUAUAUAUAUAUAUAUAUAUAUAUAUAUCUUGAAAAAUAUAUUAUUAACCUUUUUUGAAACCUUUCUGUCUUCUCAGAAUAUUGUUAAAUGUAUUAGUGCACGGGAAUGCAAAAGCAAGCAACUAUAUUGAGAUAUAAUUAUGUUAAAUAGCUAGAUCUAGUGGCAAGCUUAAUACAUUAAUUAAUUUAAAGUAGCUAUCGUAAGUAUGAUUUUCAGAAUACUUAGAACAGCUGUAAUGUGCAAUACGAAAUUAUUUGUGAUUUUUACAGAUAACAGUUAUAGGCAUGUUAAUACUAUUAUAUAUUAAUAAUUGAUGAAAAUGCUAACUUUCAGUACAGACUAGUAAAAUGAAGAUAUUUUUCCCUAUUAAGGUCAUAUGUUCAGAUUCUAUCUAUGAAUUCCAUAUUAAGAGACCUUCUUUAAAAGAGAUUUCUAUUUAUCUGGUCAGUAUUUUCCUUGAGUCAGUUUCCUAGAGUGUGAGCGAUUAUUUGACUUUUGUUCUUAAAGGGGUAAUUUGUCUAUAUAUUAGCAGAUGCAUACAAUAUGCUUCAGUAUCUUUAGUGAAAAGAGACAUAAUCACUACAUUAUUUUCUUUUUCCCCAACAUUUGACUCUUUUUGUCACGGAAAGCUCCAAUAUAAUGUUGGUAGCCAAACUUUUAAGAGAUUCUUAUUUUUGAAUUUAUACAGACCAAAGCAUAAUUAAAAUAAUCAGAUUCCCAGUUUUUUCUAGUUUACUCAAAUAAGUUAAUCUCAUUCAUAAAACUUGACAUUCCUUCUUUAUCAAAGUUAAUGUCUGACUAGGGAUUUAUUUGUGAUAUUGGAUUCAUAAUAGGAAAUAAAUUCCUAGUCAUAAUAGGAAAUAAACCAAUCUUUCCCUGGUCUAAGAAGCAAUUCUGAAUUGCUUAGCUAAAAAUUCAUUGAUUCAUUGAAGUGUAGCUAGAUAACUUUUUAAUAUUUCAAGUCAGCUAGGGCAUCUAAAAAUGUACAAGAGUGAGUGUGAAAGUUUGUGUGUACUUCUUGUACUAUUAGCUUAAUUUUCUGUAAUCCUAAACAUGAUCUGAAAAAUAAUGUCAGUUAAGUAAAAAGAUAAAAUACAGUGUUGAGAACCAGCAUAUUUAUCUGAAUAAAAGAAAAAGAUGAAAAAAAAUGUAUGUAGACCUGACAAUUAUUGCAGGCAAAAGAGCCUUCAUGUGAAAGAUUUUUUUUCUUAAAUCCUUGUUCAUUUAUGUACCCAAACGUCAACAGAUGUAUGAUUUAGCAUUUGCUCUGCACCUCUGGUUCUUGGGAUCAAGGAGUUUUUGUAUAGAUUCUUUGCUGCAGUGAACUCUGUCAUUUUUCUGAACAGCUGGGAAUGGAAUAUAGCUCAUUAAGACAGGAAAUGUUAUCCAAGUCUCCCCUGGCAUCCACAAGAGCUCUGAGUAUGUUUUGCCUCUCCAGAUCUAAAGUAUCCAUUUUGUUACCACCUAGUGUUCUCUUGCUUUUACUGAAAAACUGUAUUGGCCCCAUUGCCUCUUUGAAUGAUGUGCACAGUUUACACCAGCUGUUCCCUUUUUAUCUCGUCUCCUUUGGCUUUUUAUUAUGUUUAUGGUAUGUGCUGUGGCUUUUAUUUCAAAAAAUAAACCCCUAGUGUAAUUAGUACGUAUCAUUUGUUUAUGCAACUGGAAGGGUUUUAUAAGCAGAUUUUCACAAUAAAUCCCUGUUAUUCAGACAUCCCUGCUCCUUUAGAGUAAGAAGGAGAGAGUUGCAGUUAUUGGAGAGAGUUGCAGUUUAAAUCCUUCAGGGGAGGGAGCUUAUAUUUGACUUUUUUUUUAUGUCACAUGCUUUAUUCCUAUUCCUUUGAUUGUAGCAGUAAAUCUAUGAGACUUGAAUAGUACCAUCUCAUUUUGUAGAUGGACCAGUCAGCAUCAGCAUGUCCAAAAUCCAAUAUUAAAUUGUGGCAUGGGAAUCCAAACCUAUAUCUCUGGAGCUCUGUCAUCUCUCCUUACUAUUUAUGUAUUUUUGAGUUAUAUAAAUUUAGAUGUCUGUGUUAACUUUGUGUGUGUGUGUGUGUGUGUGUGUGUGUGUAUGUGUAAUCAGGGUCUGCUUAUGUGGUAUAAGUAUUCAAAACAAAGAAAUACAACUAGAGGAAUCAUGUUAAAAAUACCAUUUUUAUCUAGAGAUUUAGAAUCACAUCUAGGUCACUUUUCUAUCUGCAAAGUUAUUUAGUUUUUGCAAAUAAAAGAGGCAAAGAUGAUCAGGAAUAGCAACCUGGAGCUUUCUUUGUAAUUGUACAUAAGAAAAUGUCAACCUCUGUAUGGACCUGUAUUGGGAACAAUAAUGUGCUAUCCUCAUAUGUGCGUUAUUUCAUUUACUCUGGAUGUAUCAGAAAUAGAUGAAGUUCAGAGCAGUGAAGUAUUAUAUCCAAGGUAACAGAGCUUGCAAAUCUACAGCUGGGGCUACAGCUAUCAUCUGAUUCCAGUGCUCAAGCUUUCAGUCACUGCUACGCUGUGGAGAGAAAGACAAAUUGUUUGAAUAGCUUACCAUGUUUUUUAUCAGAAAAGAAGAAUAUUAUUAAGAAAAUAGAUACCAUUUAUCCAUCUUCAAUGGCUGAUUUUCUGAAGUGAAAGUACAAGUAAAUUUGUCUACUUUUUGUUAAUCUACCAUAUAAUCUUUUAAGUCUCUCUUCUUGGGUAUAAACAGAAAGAGCUGGGAUUUUUGAGAAUGGAAGGUAAUAUUGUGAUUGGGAAAGGCUAGCAUUUUGCACCUAGAUAACUUUGUCCAAGGUAAAGGGAGAUGAAGUUACUUACUUUGCAUGCCAUGGUAUCUGUGAGGAAGGAAAAAGUGGUAUAACAUGUUUUGGCCUAUGAACUGCAUGUUCUUGAAUGUGGUAGAAGUGCUUAUCAUUAACCUUUUUAUUUUAGUUAUGGUAUCUCCAAGAUACGUUGCGUUUCUAUUAAUAAUCAUCUUACGUAGUUGGGUGUUCCUGUAUUAGGUGUAUACAUAUUUAUGAUUGCUAUCUCAUCCACUUGAGUUUUUCUUUUCAUAAGUAUGUAGUGAUCUUCUUUAUCUCUUUUAAUCAUUCUUGGUUUGAAGUUCACAUUGUCUGCAAACAGAAUAGCUACCCGUUUUUCCUAUAGAUUGUUUUCCAUCCUUUGAUUUUCAGUCUGAAUUUCUUUUUGAGUUAAAUGUGUUUCUUGUAUACAGCAUGUUGUUGGUCCUUCCUUCCUUCCUUCCUUCCUUCCUUCCUUCCUUCCUUCCUUAUUUCCUUCCAUCCUUCUCUCUCUCUUUUCUUUUCUUUCUUUCUUUCUUUUUUUUUUUUUUUGUACCAGGGUUCGAACUGAUAACCUUGCACUUCCAGGCAGGUGCUUAUACCACUGAGCUAAAGCCCCAGCCCUGGAUCUUGUUUUUGAACCAACAUUCUGCCAGUCUAUUUCUUUUGAUUGGUGAAUUGAGUCCAUUUACAUUUUUGGCUAUAACCGAUAUAUAUUAGCUUGUCUUGUCAUGAUAUUUUCCUGUUGGUUCCCUGAUUUUUCCCUCUGUUUAAUUGUUUAUCUUGCCUGGUGUUUCUUUCUGUUAUUAUUCCUGGAAUUGUGGUCAUUUUUUUUUUUUUUUCCAUUCAAAAUAUCUUCAAGGGGCUGGGGAUUUAGCUCAGCGGCAUAAGGACCUGCCUUGUAAGCAGGCAGUCGUGAGUUCGAUCCCUGGUACCGAUAAAAACGAAAAAGACAAAAACAAAAACAAAAACAAAAUAUCUUCAAGUACUCUUUCUAGGCUUGGUUUGGUGGUCAUAAGUUUCUUUAGUUGUUCUUUGUUGUGAAAGUAUCUUAUUUCUCCAUUAGUUUUGAAAGAGUUUUGCAGGGUAUAUCAGUCUCGCUUGGAAGCUGCUUUCUUUUAGCACUUGAAAUGCUUCACUACAAGCUCCUCUUGACUUGAUGAUUUGUAUGGAGAUGUCUGCCGUGAUUCUGAUGGGCUUUCCUUUAUAGGUGAUCUGUUUCUUUCCCUUAACAGCUUUUGGUAUUCUGUUCUUGUACUGUAUUUCUGUAAUCUUGAUUAUUAUAUGUCUUAGUGUAGUUUUAUUUUGGUUAUGGCUGUUUGGAAUUUCACAUGUUUCAUUUAUUUAUAUCUCAAAUUCUUUAUCCAUGCUUGAGAAGUUUUCUGCCAUUAUUUCUGUGAAGAGUUUUUUUUAUGACAUUUAUGCUAUCUCCAGCUUUCUCAUUGAUCCCAAUUAAUCUUAUAUCAUUCUUUUUCGCUCUGACUUGUAGCUGUUGGAUUGAUUUCUCAUGGUCUCUAUUUUUAAGAUAUCUUUUCAUGAUCACAAACUGCAAUUCUGUCUUCAAGAUCCAAAAUUCUAUCUCCUUCACUCAAUCUCUUGGAUUUCUGUUUGGAUUUAUUUCCUGGAUUCCAUUUCUUUCCUAUGUUGGACACUUUUUUGUUUCUAUCAUUUUUCUAAGCUCAUCUAUUAUUUUAUUUGUAUUUUCUCUAAUAAUGUUUAAGCAUCAUUCAUUUUUGUACCUGAUAUAUUCUCUGUAGCUUUUUCCAUUUGUUUUUUUCAUUUCUAUUGUUAUCUUUUCAGAAAGUUCCAGGGUGUAAUUUCCAAUUUCUUCUGCCUCAUGGAGUUUCAUGCUUGUCCUGGGUAUGCUGGGGUUCUGGGGUUGCGUUUUGCUUCUCUGUGUUGUCAUUUUCUGUUUUCUCAUUUUUCAUUAUUUUGUUUUCCAUGUUGAUGUUUGCCAAUUUGUUGUUAUGUAUAUCUUUAUUACUAGUGGUAUUUGACGUUUCUGACAUCAUGACGUGACUCAGGAAGAACUUAGUGAGACUGGACUCAUUGAACAUGCGGAUGCAGUGAUAAACACCUCUUUUAUACAUAUACACAUUACUUCUUAGUGUACAGAUUUUCUGUAACAAAGCAAAACUGUACAAAAUGGAAGCAAUUUCUAGUGAGGAAAGUUUCUAGUGAGGAAAGUAACAGCAUAGUAGUGUCCAUUGUGACUUAUGUCCAUAAAAAUAUUAUUGAUUUAUAUUUAUCUGAGAUGAUAUCUAUAUGUUAUUUAAAGGCUGUAAUUAUAUCUAUAGAGUCUUUCCAAAGUGGACUUUUCAAUAAUGCUAUAGGUAUUUUAUAAGGUCUAGCCACCCCUGUUGAAGGUAUCUAUGUUUCUUUCAUAGUUUUGAUACAAUAAAUAGUUUGAUGUUUAACAUUUCAGAUUGUAAGAUGCUUUUCUCGGCUUUAAUUACGAUUCAUUUACUGAAUUUUUAAUUUAUUGUAAAAUUCUGACAAACUAUAUAAGAAACAAAUUAAAAUUGGAAAGGAAACAAAAGAAAUAUUUAAUAAAAUCAAGAAAGAUUUGGCCUUGGUCAAGGUCUGUGGCACUUCCAUUUCUUUUAAUCUUAUUUAAGUAUUGGGAGAAGAUCUACCAGUUAAGGCAAAAAGUUAAUAAGAAAAAUACAUGAAAAAAAAUCCUUACUUUAAAAAAUACAGUGGUCCUUAGGGACAUUAAUCCUUAUUGGAGUUGUUGGUGAGAAUUCAUUUGUUCUGCUUCUCUGCAGUACACCUGAAUUUCAAAUAUAUGAUUUUUUUUUAUUGAAAAAAAAAAAAAAAAACACCUUGCUUUGAAAUUGCUUUUAGAAAUUAGUUUUGGGGAAUAGCGGCCUGGUAGGCCAACAAAUACCCAGUAUGUGAUAUUUGUAGUUUUGGGAAAUCUUUUUUUCCCCCAGAAUAUUAUGAACUUUCCUUUCUCCCUUAGCCUGAACUUGACUCUUUCUUUACAUCAUAAUUCAGUAGUUUAGAGAAGUAAAAGGAAAGAUAUUUUUAGAAACACACAAUUGGAUAUAAUUUAUUUCAGUGAAAAAGUAUCUUAGGAAGCAAUGAUCAGUGUUAUCUCUCAUUGUAGACAGAGAGGAACAUUUAUCUUAAGAGUUCAUCUUUUGUAGGUGAUUUAUUUUCCUGCAUGCUCAUUGCUUUUUAUAUGUGAUCAUAUGUUAAUAACUUAGCCAAAAAAAUAGAGUUGAAAGCUACAAAAUGAAAAUAUUGUCGGGGAAAAAGCCUGUUAGUGAUACACUUUUCUUCUAGAAGUAAAUGGGUGUUGGAGUGGCCCAUUCAGAAAUUGACCACAUCUGUUCUCCUGAUUGGAAACCAUGUUUGAUUUUGAAACUUAGCAGAAGGAGAGGGGAAAGAGGGUAAUAGGGAAGAAGGGAAGGAGGGAAAAAAAGGAAAGAAGGAAGGGAGGAAGGAAAAAUAUUUACCCCAAUAUACAUUUUUCGUGUGGAUCCAUAAUCAUUUAAUAGCAAUAAGAUAAUUUCUCAAAAUUUACUUUCAUGAAGGAAUUCCACUAAUAGAUAAUUCAGACAAUUACAUUAUACAUGAGAAAUGACUGUUUACUAAAAAAGGAAAAAGGUUACUCAUGAUAGAUUUUAAAGCCAGAGAUUCUACUAACUGUCAUCAGUUUCUGAGUUUUCAGGGUGCAAAUUACAUGGAUUGAGCAUGACCCAGAAACAACCCUGUCAAUGAUUGCCACAGGGAAUAUAGUAAUUGAAGAUUCGCCUGUGUUGAUUGACUUUUAGUAUCUGAUUACAGCAGCUUUGAGCAGUGUAUCUCCUUUAUCUUCUUUGUUACUUCUUUUCAGAAAUGCUUGUAAGAUAUGUCUGACUUUUCUGUUAGAUUUUUGGAUUCUUAGAAGACUGGUUAUCUAUUUCCAUUUGUUGUUUGCCUGGUGAAUAUUUCAUUCGGCAUCAGUAUGAACAUAUCAAACUGAAUUAAAAUUUGCUAAAAUUCUGAGACUUUUAAAAAACAUAUUUUAUACUUUUCUCAUUUGUUCAUGCAGAACUUUAUCUAUGUAAAUGUUUGGGUCAGAAUUUUUCUUGACCUUGCAUGCUAGAAUGAUGGACUGUCGGGGCUGGGGAUUUAGCCCAGUGGCAUAAGCGCCUGCCUUGUAAGCAGGCAGUCAUGAGUUCGAUCCCCGGUACCGAUAAAAAGGAAAAAGACAAAAAAAAAAAAAAAAAAAAAAAAAGAAUGAUGGACUGUCGUAGGACAUUGUAGCUUGUAGAUGCCAUUUCUUUUUGAGUGAGUCAUUGAUGCACAGUGUUUUGAGUAAAUCUAAGAAUUAAAUUCAGUACUGUCAACAGUGAGAAACUGGUCACUUUAUUUGGAGGUUAACAGAGGCAGAAAAUGUGAAUGGAAUUCUGUUUUUUAAUAAAAAGAACAUUGGCCUGAUAUUCUAUUCUGUGCUAGCUCUGGGAGUAUCUUGUACUGUGUGGAUUAUUUAUUUCUUGCUAUGAUUUUUCCAUGUAAUCUUUGAAAAGCUGUGAUAAUGUCACUGCUGAAUAUGAGAUCCCUGCAUAGACUUUCUGUUUUAUUUUUGUUUCAUUGCUAUAUGGGCUUUCUAUAUUACUUUUGUUGUUGUUGUUUUUGUUUUUGCACCAUAAAACUCUGGUGGAUGGCUUAGUGUAUUCGUUUAGAAAAUAGAAACAUGUUACUAGUUUUAUAGGUACAGAGUUUUUAGCUCUUACAGACCUAGUUUAGUGAUUUUUCUGUUCCUCUCUAUGUGUUAAUUUGAUCUGGCCUGUAUAGCAUGGGCACAGAGGGUGAAAAAAGGGAAGGUAAAGAAGGAGAGGUUACUGUCCUGAAGAAUGUUGAUAAAAUACCUAGCUUCAAGUCUUAGCAAAUGACCGAGUGAUUAAAGUCCACAUGAGAAUGGAGAAUACCUUUCCUGAAUUACUGAGUUUAGAUCAGUGAAUCUUCUCUCAGCUGUGCUAAGUAUUUGGUUUAUUUCUAGUAUGCCUUCUCUUUUCAUAAUCAAACAGUAGCUUCUACAUUUUGACAUUUUGUUUCACUCAGCACUUUGGUGGUUCUGUGUAUUCGUGUUUUAUUGCCAUUUUUUAUUAAGUGCAGAUUUGAUUAAUGACUGCAGACAUUUUAAAGUGUCACAUUGAAAUGUAUAUUUGCUUAAAUUCAUGUCUAAUCAGCAAACAUAUGUUUUUGGUGUUUCCUUUCUGCUUCAGAAAUUCCUGGUUGGCUGUAAUUGUUUUCAAAGUCCCUCCAUUCUGUCCUGAGUUGAGAACCUUAGCUAAUUUUAAUCAACCCUGAGCUGUCAUUCUUGUUCAUCACUGUCACAUUAGAAUCAUUCUUGUUCAUCAAUGUCAUAUUAGCAGCAAGUCUGAAAUUGCUGAUUAGUAAAGUGGAUGAAAAUCACAGCUCUGUGUGUGUCCAAAUAGCUACUCAUCAGCAAGGCUUGUGAUAGGGUCUGCUGGUUUAAAUGCAGGCCUUAAUCAAAGGCUGAAAAAUGUUUUCUCUGCUGUUUAACCUCGUAGUACUGAAUAAUAUUAACAUGUAUAUAUACUGUCAUAUAUAUACACAGAAACACUAUUGUAAAAAUGUUUAGAGUCAAUGAGAUGGAAUCAAACAAAGGAAUAAAAUAAAUAGACUUUGAAGAUGACUUCUCAAACUUUAUUUCAGCAAACAUAUAUGCCAUAUUUACCUUUGAUUUCACUGAAUCAUUCAUGUCUAGCUGAAGAACUUUUUGGUUAAUAAUGUACUGUCUUUGGGGAUAUGGACUAAAAAGUGUGAGGUAAAUGAGACAGAUUUUACACAUAGAGAGCUGGUGUUAUUUCAAAUGGUGUUACUUUUCUCUGUGGCAUUCAUGUAGAUUUAUCAACAGAUCUGGAUUUUUUGUAUGUAUGAGGCAGAAUUCUAAAGGACUUGAGGAUUAUUAUGUGGAAAUGAGAUGGUUCACAUACUACAUAAUAUCAGUAUUUUAUAUGAGAGUGAUACUGUAUAGUAUCAUAUGAAACAACUGCUUUGUUUUGGAAAGCAGUAUUUUUUUGUGUGUCAUACUCAUGUUAGAUAUCGAAUAUCCAUUGUAAAACUUAUAGUCUGAAGUCUUCAUGGUACUGAGUUUUGACAUGCUGCUUUUGUAGUAGCUCAUUGUGGGAGGUAAGUGCCAUUAUUUUGAUUUUAUUGAUGAAAUUUCUAGUAGGUGAUUUGUUUGAAGUUGCACUAUGUAAGAAAUAACUGGACCUUGUAUACAAGUCUUUCUAAAAUCAGAUGCAAUAAUUCUGUUUUUCAGCCAUAUAGUUACCUGUUUAUAUGGCUAACAUAAUAAAAAAUUCCUUACAUACAAAUGUUUAUAGUGUGAUCUAUAGACUACAUACAUCUGUAUCCUGACUUCACUCAAGGUAAACACUAAUAAUGGAAAUGUAGAAAGGAAGGAGUCACCAAAUUUUACAUUAGUAUUCUCUUAUAGAAUUGUAAAAUUUUCAGUCAGACCAAAUGCUGCAAGGGGAAUCAGACUCUGCUAUUGUUUUAUGGAAAUCAACUUCAUGUGUUUAAAAAAUAUAACAUCAAUUAUUUUAUGUAAUUAAAAAUUCUUUACUCCCUAAAAAUUUUUAUUUUCUCUUAUAGAGUACAACCUUGGAAACAUAUUUAUGUAUUUUCGAGACAGUAGGUCAUUUUUUACUGCCUAAUGCUAGUAUUUCCAGUGUACCUUUUGUAGUGGUCACAAACCCUGAUAAACUUUCAUUUCUUCCAAGAUAUUUGUUACUUUCAUAUUGUUUCUUUUUUAGUACAGUGUUAAGAGAUUUAUUUAUUUUGCCUUGUAUGCUCUUUUUUUUGACUUUGCUUCUAUUCUAAUUUUACAAAGUUUUACUCAGAAAUAGAACUUCAAAGACACACAUAUUAUAUAACAGAAAGUGUAUGUUAUUUUGUCACAAGACCUGAAUUCAUAUUCCUUUUCUUCUUAUUACUGUUUUUCAUUUUCUAAACAAUUUCCAGCCACACUAUUCUACCUAUAAUAUUUGUAGUUUUUAGCAUUAUUGUGAGGAUUAAAUAGGGCAACCGAAUAGAAAUGCCUGCUGUGAUCCUUUAUUCAGAGUAAAUGUUUGAAAAAUUAUAAUUCUUCUUUGUAUUCUUUUUAUUGUUUGUUUUGUUUCUCAUUUGAUAGUUUCUUACCCUUAUUUCUUUCUCUUUGUUUACAACUCCAGAGUUGUAUUGAUUUGUUAUCUAUUUUGAAGUUUGCAUUGUCUGUGCUCUGGUCAUUGGUAUUAGACAAAUAAGAUUGCUAGUCUUAUUUCUUUAGGAAAUAUUACUUGGAACAAUGUUCAUUUUACUGCUUUUCCAAUUAUACUUAUCUCCAGUGCUGCCUUCUUUUUUCUGGGUCUCUUUCUUUCUGUCAAUCCAUUUUAUAGUUCUCCUUAUCAAGUUAACAGACCUUAUGUAAGAUGUCUUUAUCCUGGCUGUAGGAGUAGAUUUGACUUCAAAUAGUAAGGGAUCAAUGUCACAAGAGUAUAAAUCAGAUAAAAUUUUAUUUAAAAUCUGGUGGUCAGAUGGUGGUAUUAUGACUCUCAUGAAUGACAUGUAAAAGAACACAAAUUACAUGACCAUGCUGAGAUGAAGGGAGGCUUCAGAAAUGUAGUCUAUUUCAUAUGUGCCUGGAAGAUGGAUACAAUAGGUAUUUGGUGACAACUACCCAUCUUUGUCUUGUUGGUUCAAAUGAGAUACACUGGUCCAUAUCUAAAGGUCAAGGAAUCAUAUUCUGUUUUACACUGUUUAUGUAACUAUCCUUUCCCUGUUGUCCUAUAUUUUAUAACUCUACCUUGUUUAUAGAAAUAAGAGAAAUCCACUUAGUCUGUGUUUUAUUUAUUUUCUUGCUAGCAAAUAAGUGUCUGUCUUUGUCAGAUUCUCCAUUCUUUCAUGACUCAACUUCUGUGGUCAGUGUCUGUGGGCCUAGCAUUUAGAUCUGUUAAAAUGCCAUAUUAGAUUUUUCCCUUUCACAUUCCCUUGAAAGUAACUCAGUAUGUGAAUUUUAAUAUUAUUUUUACCCAAGCAUGUAUGGAAAUGUAUUCUGUAUUUUAAAUAUAUCAAUGUUCAGGUAAAAUCAUGAAAGAUGAUUUAACUGAACUUUAUUGAAGAUACAAAAAGUUUCAUACAUCAAUGAUAACAACCACUUUUUGGCUCAUUUUGUUUUCUUUUAUAAGCAGUUUUUUUUAGUAGCAGCAACAAAACUUUCUCUGCUUUUUUCAUAUGCUUUAUUGUGAUUGACACAAGUGAAUUCUUAAUAAUAUUUUCUUUUUCUUUCUUUUUUUUUUUUUGUUUUUUUUUUCCUUUUUUCCGGUACCAGGGAUGGAACUCAGGACCGCCUGCUUGCAAGGCAGGUGCUUAUGCCGCUGAGCUAAAUCCCCAGCCCAAUAUUUUCUUUUUAACAGAGUGAGCAGUUGGGUACAGAGGUUAGUUAAUUUGUCCAAGAUAAUGUAAUUAGUAAGCAACAGAUCAAAAAUUCAAAUGUCACAGCCUUUGAAUUCAGAAUGAUUCCUUUUCCACUCUGGUAUGAAUUGGAAAGUAGGAGUAUUUAUUCAUUUACAGUCUAUGAAUUCUUGAAAUUCCUCAUUGCCUCCUUUUUAAAAUGGAUCAUCUUUCAUGGGAAGAAAAACCCAUUUCCACUAUAUUAUUCACCUGGUGUAAUGUUGUCUUCCUUAUUUUUAUUUUCCUUUGAGAUUUCUCCUCAUUUGUAUUUCAAUAAGCACCUCCUUCUUUGUGCUUAAAAUCUUUUGCCUUUAGAUUCUUCUUGUCUUUCUCUGUGAUUAAAUUUAUAAUUUGAAAAGUUAUGUCCAUUCUCUGAAGGAACUUAAAGUCUCUUUAGGAAUAUAUAAUGUAAAUGUGAAGAAUGGAUCGUACUUGUCUCCAUGAAAUUUCUGCACAUUUAUUUUCUCCUUUUAGUGUUCUCUAUCAGUAUAUAGUUAAUGUAAGCUGAUGAUAACCUAACAUACUCUAUCCUGAAAAUCUCUUUGUCUUUUCUUGUUGCUUACCCAUGUACCUUGUAUCUAUGAUAUAUUUAAGACUGCUCUACUCCAUUACCUUGAUAGAACAAUUUUAUAUUUUUACACAGAGAUGUGCGCGUGCAUGCACACACACACACACACACACACACACACACACACACACAGCAUCUGAUGAUUUAAAAGAGUGGGGCAGAAGACAGAGGCAGGGUAUCCUGCUCUGCAUAGAAAUGGGGAUCAUGUCAUCUGCAUUGUGACCUAUUUUACCACUGUGAUGUUUUCAUUUGGUAAGAGACCUUUUUCCUUUUUUAAAAUUACCAUUAAGAUGGCAUCUGAUACAAAUAACCAUCUUUUCCGUAUCUCACUUUUACUUGUCCUUAUCUCUUGGCUGCAUUAUUCCAUUUGUAUAAUUGCCAAUACCUGAACUUUGAAGUGACCUCAGAUUAUGAACUCAGGGGUCAACUUUUUUGAUAAGGUUGACUUCAUAGGCUUUCAAAUCUCAGAUAUAUUCUAUUUUUUGUUGAGUUAAGUAAAAAUAGGAUAUUUGAUUCCUGUUAACCAAGAAUAAGAGAAGUCAUUUGUCUAAGGUGUAAGUUCUCUGUAAAGCUAACUAUAAUAUCAGUAUAUGUUGGGUGAUUUAAUCUUUUUAGGAUUUUUAUAAAUUUUAAAAUAUUUAUUAGUACAUUUUUGCAGUGCAUAAUCAUUACAUUUGUCAUGGGAGUGUGCUGCAUGUACAUAGGUAAUACAUCUUAAUUCUUUUUAUGUGCCCUUCCUUUUUCCUUCUUCCUCCUCUCUCCAUUUGUAGUUUAAUAUUUUAAUCUUUUUUAAUGAUAUAACAAUUUUUAAUAAUAGGAAAGGAAAUUAUAAUUUUAUAAGUAUGAAAACUAUCCCCAGAUCAAUCACAGAUUUAACUGGAAUUUUUAGUUGGUCUAAGAAGAAGAUUGUUAUACUUUGAAGUUUGUAAAUCCCUGGACUUGAAAUUUUCUGUUAUUAUUUUUCUAAGGAAAUUUGUAGAAUAUCUAAAGGAUGGUAUGCCUUUGUGUCAGAUACACUAUAAAGAUAAUGAGUUCAGUGUAGGUAAUCUUUCAAAAUCCUAUCUUUGCGAUUCCUUGAACACACACAUACACACACAUACACACACACACACACACAACUAGCAACCUCUAAAACCUAAGAGGAGCAGUUAGACAUUUCCUGUUGGUAGUUCUGGACAUUUUAGAAGGAAGGCAUUAGGUACAUGUAAGGCAUGUUUUUGUUAUUACUAUUGGCAUUACUUGUCAUUUAUGUAGCAUCUUCUUCCCUAAUGCAGUUGCUUAAGGGAGCUGCAAUUUUACUCCUGAUGGCUCCUUUUUGUCAUUAUGUAAUCUGUGGUAAUCCACAUACUGGGUAAAUAUUGCUAUUGGACUUAUUUUUUCCUCUAAACUCUAGCCUUAGAAUAUUGUUUUGUUUUACUUUUCAAUGAAACUCUUAGUGGAAAUUUUUAGAAACAUGAAGUACCAGAUGUCUAGGAAAGGAAGCCAUAUUAAAAACCAGUGUAAAUUCUAAGUAAAUCAUAGUUCUUAUUACCUCAGAAAACUAUUAAAGAACAUUAAUAAGUUUUCUAAUCUUGGCUUCAUUAGUGCAACCAGUUGAUAAACUGCUAAGUUGCCAUUGCACACAUUUUCAAAGUUACAAACAUAAGUUUCAAAUUUGUACUCUUAUUGACUAAUACAUAGCUCUUAACAUAUAUACAUUUCACUGGUAAAUUUCCAUUCUUUAUUCAAAAACUUUGGUUUUCUUAUUCUGAAAGAUUCCUGCCAGCAAGUUUUUAUGUACUGUUAUCGAACAGUACGUAAUAGUCUUUACGAGUGUCUCUUGCAAAAUUAAUAGCUUCCCAUUACAAAGUAGAGACUCUUAUCUAGACAUAUUCUUUGUUUCUCUAAAAAAUAUGUUUCAAUACUUGAGAUCUUUUGAUGCAUGCAUUAUUGUUUCAUAAUGAAUCAAAGCACUUUAUGCUGGCUAAUUCACCUUUUCUGACAUUAUUAACAGUUUUUUUUUUUUAAUUCUAGGGACAUGAAAGGCUUCACAUUAAAAUAGGCAACAAUAAUCAAAAGCGUGGCCCAUUUUCUGAAUAUUUGUGUCUCUAUGAAAUAAUUUUUAAAGCAGAAUAAUUGGUCAAUUUUUCAUAUUUGUACUCAAAUAUACUUAAAUUUAAUUAAAUUAAUCAUAGUCAUUAUUUAUGUUUCACUGAUUGGAAAUUACUGUCAUUUAACUUAUGAACAAAUGGCACUCAUCUUAAUUUCUUAUCUUUGAUGUUCUUCUCUGUUGCGUGCCCAUUUGGUGGCACUACUGGGUAGCAUCUCCCUGUUAUCUUUGAAAACUUUUGUACACGAACUUUUAGGUAUAAUGAUGCAAAGAGCCCCAUUAAACAGUAGUCUUGUAAGUUCUUCUCUUUAGAUGUUAGUAAUUCACCAUAGUAUUUGCAUUUUAAAGAAAAUCAGUGGUAGUGUAUGUGAGCCCUCUAAUUGGUGAGUGAAUAAGCAAAAUGAUAGAGUAAAAAUUCUGAGAAAUGUUUAAAGUAAAUUUUUGGAAGAGAAAUUUUCCCAAAGUAUCAGCUUUGUAAGAGAGACUAGUGCUCAGAUCCAUAUAGUGUGAUAUUACUUACGUUUGCUCCACCAUGGUAGUGUCCAAAAUAACCAGUACUAAUCUUAUUUCUAGUAUACAAUAUAAAUGCAUUUUAAAACUUACUUUGAAAUAAUGUCAUUUGGAGGAUGUCCAUUUAAACGUGUACACAAAUUGAUCUGAAAUGAUGUUUGAAGCUGGUUUCACGAAUGACAUUAAAUUCUAUAUUUGAUUAUGAAUACUUGCUUUAUUUUUCUUCAGUGCAUUCAGAAUUCAUUGAUGGAGUCAGAGUUAAGCUUAAAUGUUAUAAGUAUUAAUGAUAUUAAAAAUGUUUAGCCUAGAAAUAUGUUAAUUGCAAUCAUAAGAUGACCACAGCUCUUGAAAUAUUUUUGUUGUAUUCACUUAAACCACAAUGUAACAGCUGGAAUCUAUUGGGAAAUGUGAACUUUUUAGAUUUGUCCUUGAACUCUUGGUUGGCUUUAUAAUUUCUUUUCUGAAUGGUAUGGUAAAAGAUUUAAUACUCUUUGGUGCUGAUUUAAAAAGGAGAUCAGAGAGAUUUUUUUUUAUAACUCUUACAAAAUUCACUUUGUAUGUAAAUUGAGUAUCUUGAUAUGAUCUCUGUCAUUUAUAUGUUUUCCCUAGAGCAAAAUUUUAUGUUUCUAUUUAAUCUCAAUCCCCUUCCCCAGACAGAUUAACCUCCAGUAACCAAGUAAGCAUAAUUAAUUCUGUGGAUUCCACCUAGAGUGUUUCCAGUUGUUAUUCUCUAGUAUUGACUUUCAGCAAAGUAUUUUUAUAUUUUCAAUAUAUUGUGGUUAUAUUGUGAGCAAAUUCCUUUUUAAUUUUAUCUGAGUAGUUAAUUCCAUUUCUGCCCGAGUUACUGUAUUGAACAGCUUCUGCCAUCCUUCAUACAUUAAGCUUUCAUAUAUGUAUUUAAUAACUAUUAUUUGGUUAUCCUUAUGCUGUCUUUUCUUCAAACACAAUUAUCCCAGUUCCUUUAGGCUUUAUUUUUAUUCUGUAUUUUCUAGGCCUUAUUGAUUUUAGUGUUUCUUCUAGAUCUUUGAAAAAGGUGGUAUAAGAUUAUAAAAUGAAUCUUGUGUUAGAAUUGUGCUUAUCAUUUAUCCUCUGUAUCAGUCAAAUUCUUUGGGAUUCUUCAAGCCUCUGUGGGGACAUUUAUUUUUCAUUAAAAUAUGGCUAUAAAAUCGACUUUACAAUCAUAUUGAGUCAUCUUGACAGUGCUGUGAGUGACAGAAACUAAUCUUAUCUGCUGGCUAGUAUUUUAAAAAUGAUAAAUGGAUCCCAAAUCUUUAGUUAGUCUAUAAAUGAAUUUAGAUUUAUCUUAUUUACCUGAGAAAUAGCAUUACUUGGAAAAUUUGAAUUACACCUCUGUGAAUGAAGUUAAAUAAAAAAGGCUUGGGACUACCUUUUGAUUUCACGUUUAUAUAUAUAUAUAUAUAUAUAUAUAUGUAUAUAUAUAUAUAUUUAUAUAUAUAAAUGUAUAUAUAUAAAUAUAUGUAUUUAUCAAACUAAAGGUACUUUGGGAAAUUCAAAACAGUAAGAACUCAGCAUACAUUUCUUGAAGAAAACAAAAGAUUUCUUAUCAUUUGUAAUAACUUCAAAAUUACUCAUGUAGACUGAAAACACAUGCUCCGAGUAAAUUUUACAAGGUAUUUGUGCUUUGAUUUUCUUUUUCAGAUCUAAAAUAUAUUUUAGAAUCUUGAUAAUCAAAGCAUGUUUAACACUGAUGUCUUCAUUGUUUUAUCUUUUGUUAUUCUAGUUGCUUAAUUAUUUGAAGAUCAAGUUAAAUUUAAAUCUAGUACAAUUCCUGCUGGUACAAUGACUUUUUAUAUUAACUUUCACUAUUCGUUUAUUUUCCCAGUAGGAAGCUAACUUACCUUACUCCUGCAUGUGAUUCUGAUGUCUUUGUUUUGAAACCAUUUCUUGAUUAAGGACAUUAGAACCUUUUUUUUUUCUUUUUAUUAACUCUUUUGUAACAAAUUAAAUUGAGCCAUUUCACAAUGUCUCAUAUCUUUUUUCUACAUUUUAACUGAAAUUUCAGAAUCCCAACAAUGUCAGUUUUUUCCUUUUCCCCAUUUUUGAUCCCCAGGACCAUGUUAAUAAUUUUGUUAAAUGCUAAUUUUUCAAAUGUUAGAUUUAACCAAAUCAAGGACAUUAAAGCACUAACACUUUAGAUUCUGUUUGUAAAGCAAUAGGAUACUAAUGUGCUAGGUUGUCUGACUGUGGGAAAUGCCUUAUCUUCUAUUUGUAGAUUUCCUAUGUUCUUUUUCUGGUCUGUAUUCUUUUGAGGAUCUUUGUAUGUCAUAUAUAAAGAAAUAGGAAGAAAAGAUUUGGGUCAUUAGGAGGAUUUUCUGACUAUGAGAAUAUGAAGAAAUAAGAUAAAGACAAGUUUAAGUUACAAUAUUUAAUAGGAAAAGAAAAAGCGAAUACCCGUGAACUGUGAGGUAUCAAGUAUUUCUUUUAUUUUCAUCCUUUUUUCUCUGUCUACUACAGAUUCCCCAAUUUAGAUUCUCUUAUCAUCCACCUAAACCAUUUUUGAUAUUAAAGCCUUAAAAGUGAUUUAGUAAGAUUUUUUUUCCCAAUACUUAAUUCUGUCUAUCAUUUCUUUAAGUUGGUUUCCAGUCUGUUUCUAUCACUUAAAUGUAUUGGUUCUUCUUUGACCCUUUGUCAAAGCCUCAGAGAAUGUCUAAUCUCAGUCUCAUAGGGCCUUCUGUCUAAUACAUGAUACCAUGUCUAAUAAACUGACAUGAUCCUAUUGGAACUUUUUUUUCCAGAUGCAAAUGCCCAGUUUCUGUUUAUAUAUUUGGAUUUUUAGUGACCUUCUCCUUCUUACUGAUAUUCUUGACUAUUUAAAUUGGUUGAAAUUGAUUGUAGAAAAUGUGUUCUCUUUUCACAUAUAAUUUAACAAGUCUUUUUUAAUGAGUCUGGUAAUUUCUUUCCUUAUUGUAGAUGUUUCUGUUAAUGCAACCUAAUAUUACUCUAGUUACAUUUUAUAUCUGUUUAGUCUGUUGCUUUAUCAUCUUUUUUGUACAUAGUUUGGGGCAUUGAAUCUAUGUGUAGCAUGGUCAGCGCUCUAUCACUGUGCUACUUCCCCAGUUCCUUUUAGAUUUUUAUUUUGACAGGGUCUCACUAAAUUGUUUGGGUUGGGCUUAAACUUGUCUUCUUCCUAGUUAAGCCUAUCAGAUAGUGGAAGUAUAGGCCUGUGCCCCUGGGAUCAGAUCAUAACCUCUAAAGGUUUUGAAGCCACGUUUGUUUAUUUUAGAAAUCAUUCUAUGGUUAAAAUUAUUGAAAGGAUUAUGUACAGAAAGAUAUCUUUCUCAGGUGCGUGAUAAGAUGCAUUUGUCCUGUCAUGGAGCUUACAAUUCCAAUAUGGAAUUCUUGCAUUUCCUUUAUUUACUCAGUUCUCCCAAGCCCCUUUGUAGUCAGUUCCUUUCAAAGUGAGUUGUGUUUUUAUAGUUUUACAUUUUGUCAAUACCAUUCUCUUUUUAUAUAGUUUUUUUUCCCCUCAAGGAUAAAAUUUGAUCUUUAUUCUUUUAAAUUUCCUUAACUUGCAUGCAGAGUUCUAGACUAUUGUGUUUUUUAUCCACGUUUUUUCUUAUCAUCUUUCCAGUCUCAUGACAUGCGUAAGUUUUAUAAGUAUUUUUUUUUUUUCUGUCUUGAUGGGGUGAAAAGGCUGACAGAAGACAAGGAAAAAAGGACCUAUCCUUAUUUGACACAUGAGAACAUUUCUGUAAGGUGACAUUUGUUUACUAAUUAUUGUCUUUUGAUGUUGCCCUCUAAUCCACUUAAGUACAUCGGUGUUUUGUUUACAUUUGUACAUGUAUGUUAAGAAGGACUGCAUGAGAAAUCUUGGCUGAUUCCUUGCUGAAGCCUGGGACACAAUUUUAGGCACAGAUUUUUAUGUAAUAGUCUGGUAACCUUUUCUACCUAUUUGACUUCAAGCUAUCAUAUGGUCCAUUAUUGAAAUUCACCUUUCUCUUUACCAUGUUUUUCUCGGCAUUUUAAAUUUUGAGGUUCAUGUGCCUGGUACUUUUCAUUAAACAUAAGUGGUAGGAAACCUAUGAAUUCUGUUUCUUAAUUACCUAUUUCUUAUGGAUCAAAACUUGUGUACAGUGUGUUCUCAGACAGUUUUAUAUUUGAAUUGAAAUGGUGCUUUUUGUUAUAAAAUACUUCAGGUAGGUGUUAAUUUUCCACUCUCAGCUAAGACUUGUUACGUAUAAAUCAUCACAUUUAUUAAAUAAAUGAAAGUCUUUGAUAGUAGGCACCACAAUUCCCUGUUUACUUUUGUGAUUCCAGAAUAAAGCAAAAUGCAAGGCACAUAGUUGAUGCUCCCUAAGUAAGAAUUUUUCUUUUAUAACAAUGUGUUAUAUUUAGUAGUAUUAAAUACCCACCUGUAUUCAGGUGCUUUUAUUAUAGUAUUGUGGUCAUUACUUAGAAUAACAAAGUUUUUGUCCUGAAAGUAUUUAAAUAACAAAGUUUUUUGAAAAACGGCUGUAAGUUUGAGACUAAAAUAUCUCUGAGCAAAUCUAGCAUUUAAUGACAUCUAGUUUUCGCCCAGGAGUAACUGCUUUGCUAUUUUUUAUUACUAUCAAUAGUGUUAUUAGUGUAAGGAUUUUGUACUUUCUUUUAUCAUUCAGUUUUAUGAAUAAAAAAUAAGAAUCUGAACAUAAGCAACCAGACUUUACUGAGCUGCAACUGCAAAUAUGCUGUCUCUGAUCACUCUAGCCCUAUGGUGCAAACUUCUAUUAGGCAUGCAUCAGUGGGCUGUUUAUGUCAUUGAAAGCUGUAAACAGUUCGCCGUCACUUUCAUACUGGUCCUGCUCUUCUGCCUAAACCCUGAUUAAUAAAUUAUCCUGUUAAGUUUGUACUUGCUGAUAAUUUUGUGAGAAAUAAUCUGAUGCAAAGGAUGUUUCUAAUUAAUUAGUUUAGUCCUAUGUUCCAUGCUGUAUAAGACUCUUACAGUACGAUACAUGUCUGUCCUUUACCUACUUUUUCAUUUGGAGAUCUAUUUUAAACUAUACUGUAGUAUACUGGCUGUUUGGUCAUUUGUUGUUAUAAUUUCUUUUUGUUAUAGAUUUUUCUUUCUAUGGAAAAUUUGUUCUUAGUAGUUUUCUGAUCUACUCUAUAAGGAAAUAUUGCUAAAUUUAACUGUUUCAAAUUUGGUUUUUAUUUCUGGAAGGGGCAAAGUUGCUGCUGUGCAUUGUGAUUGAGUGCACUGAGUAGUUAGGUGUAUGAUAUAUAAUACAGGAUUUAGAAUGUGUUCUAUAACACAGACAGUUGAUACAAAGGGGAAGCCAGUUGCUCCAGAGUUGUAGUCCAGGUUUCUGUCAUAGGCUGAUGUAGUGCCAAAGCAUAUGAAUCUCCAUAUGGUGUUUCUUUGGGGGUUUAUGCCACCUGUAAUCUGGCUGGUUUUCAUUCAUUUAAAUUUGUCCAAGAGGUAAGCAAAAUAAAGCUGGAUAUGAAAAUAAUAUGCCUAUGUUAAAAGGCUAACAUUUGAGAUGAGUUAUUGCUAUUAUAGUAAUUGCUAUGAAAAAAUAAUUCAUUAGAUGAGUGCAUUAGCAGUACAGCAGUAGUGUUUCUUUCACUUCAUUAACAGCGGGGAGCAGUGUAUCCAUUUCUGGCAUGUGGAGUGCAGAGGGAAAAUAUUUUAUUUUUAUUUUAUUGAGUCUUCAUGAGAAGAUGGAGUUAGAUCAUUUUGGACAUUUUAAAAAGUAAUAAUAGUAAUGAAUUUAAAUAGAUUUUCAUGGUUCAAAAGUAAUGGUAUUGUGAAUGGCAUUUGGCAUUUUGAUUGAAUAUAAAAAGUAAUAAAACUGGUUACAUUGAGACUGCAUGAUAUUGAAGUUGUUUUAUAUCAUUAGGAACCUUUGAUUUCAGCAACAAGAAAAAACAAAACGAAACAAAACAUGGCUCUAUUGAACCAUGGUUUUCCAACCUCAUAAAAAUGCUUCUCUAAGCUCGAGGCAGAAUUAUUGGUUUAUGUGUCAGCUAGCAUUGUUUUACAUUGCAUCUUAAAUGUUUUAGCCACUCUUCAAAGCCGCUGUGUUAAUAGACAGGACAGAAAUCAUUGAUGUUGCCUUUGUGUUUCUGCUAUCUUAUUAAAACAAAAAAGUACUUCUUGCUUACACUGUAGCAUAUAUUUGAGAUUUUUAUCUGCAGUUUUUUUAUUGAUACUCAACAUGUUAUAGAAAUUGACACAUAAUUAUGUGUCAAUUAUUGAUUUUUGAAAUUACUUUGAAUUUGGGUAGAUUAGGUAUUAUGUUCUUUCAGCUGCAGUCUCUGCAAGACAUAAAAGGCAAUUAGACAGUUUCUACAGGGUUUUUUUUGCAGAGACCGUCAUACCCUAGAAUGAAUGUAUAGUUAAGGAGAAAGAUUUAUUAAUGAGUGCUGAGUUAUACUUAGAUAGAAGAUAAAAGUCCUGGUAUUCUGUUGCAUAGUGUACUCAACUAUAGAUUGUGAUCCUGUAUUGUAUUUUUAGUUUUAAAAAUUAUUCAUUUUAUUAAUAUUUUUACUAGUAUAUCUUCGUAUUACAUAAUAAUUACAGUUAUCAUGGGGAGUUUGUACAUGUAAGUAACACAUUUAACUUAUACUACAUUGGAAGAAUUUUGAAUAUUGUCAUCAUAAAUGAUCAUAUUUGAGGAUCUGUGUAUGUCCACUUAGAACACUAUAAAAUACAUAGAUGUAAUGAAAUACCGCAUAACACCUCAUAAAUAGGUACAGAUUUUAUGUAUCAGUUAAAAAAAGAUUGAGGAGAGCUAGGAGUGAUGAUGCUAGAAGUGAUCGUAUGUGUAUAAACAGCACAAGCAGCCUGCAUGGGUGUUACUAACCACCAUUGUACGUAGACCACCUGGCCCAGCAUCUGGUGGAGAGUAAUGCUGUAAUUUCUGGAGGUGAUCUUUUUUUCUCCAACAAUUAAAUACAUUGGGUACUAAAAUGAUUCUUACCCCUACUGUGUUGUUGGGAAACUUACACAAUCUCAGGUACUGAUUGUUUAUUGGUAAAUUAGGGACAGUAGUAUGUGUCCCAAUUUUAUAGAAUGGUCAAGAGAAUUAAAUAAGAUAAAGAAAAGCGAUGUUAUUAUUAAGGUAUGAUAUUCAUGUUAAAAGUAUUAUAUCACAGUAUAUAUGUGAUUUGUAUCAUUAUUUUUUGUCUCAAUUCAUACCUUUUACUUCCUCAGAAUUGGUUUAUGCCUGUUUUACUAAGUUUUUAUCACUCACUUUUGUACAGUGUGUUGAGUAGUCCUGAAAUAAUGUUCUAAAUAUAUUAUUCUCCUUUUCUAGAUUUUCUUAUUGUUCUACUUUUCCAGCCCUUAUCUUCAGCCUUUUCCUUAAAGGAUUUUUGAUUUCUCUUUAUCUUUGCACUUGCCCAUCUAUGUGCCUUUGCUCAUACUGCUGUUAUUUCUACUUAGAAGUGUAUCUCUCUUUUGACAUCAUUGUCUCAACUCGAUAAAAUGUCUUUCAAUGUUCAUCUGAACGAAAACGAAAAUGAAAAAGACAUGUAAAUUUUGUCCCUUAAUUUUUCUUUUCCUUUGCCAGAUCCAGUUUUUCUUGAAUAGAAAUAUAAUAGAUAACAGGGGCUAGUCUUGGGAGAUGGUGGCCAAGGGAAAGACGCUUUUAUAUAAUUGUUUCCUCUGUUGUUUUCAUCAUCUCAGGCUUUACUUUGCUGUUGAAGAAGUUAAAGUUGUACUAAGUCUUUCUCUCUCAUCUAGCAUGAAACCCCUGCCUCCUGUGUAUUCACAUUUAUUCUGUUGUGUUUAAAUUUGUACUUUAUGUGAUAAAGUAAAUCUUACAGAGAGCUAUAAGAAUUCUUAUUUGUAAGAAUAUAAUAUUAUAGAUCAUAAAAAUUUUUGAAUGAAUAAUAUGUGAAUUCCAUGAGAAAUAGGCUGUUUACAGAAAUGGAGAGACAAGCUAGCUUAAAGUGAAGAUUUCAAUUUUUAUACUGAAAAAUUUCACAUUUUAUUUUGUAAAUUUAGACUUGGUGUAGAUCAGCUUUUCUUAAGCCAUAUAUUAUCCUAUAUUAAGUAUUAACAUCGAUAGGAAAUAUUAAUAUUGCAAUCCUGGCCUGUUAUUUUAAAAAAUCAUUAUUUACUAUACUUUAUAGAUUGAUUAAAUUUAAAAUUUUAUUUCUCAAAGAUUUAAUACGGUUCUGUGCAGAUUUUUCUUGUAUAUGAUUUGAUUAAGAAGAAUCUUUUCAAUGUCAAUGGAAUAGCCUUGUAAGUUUUAAAUUAUAAAUUUCUAACUUCUUUAUAUCUAAAAUAGAACUGUUAUUAUAAUUUUUUUUCAUUUUUAAAAUAAAUUUAUCUCUGGUAUUGAAAUUUUUAGCUUGACUCUUUUUUCACUCAGUUUUGGGUAGGAUCUAUGACCACCUCCCUAAACAGUGCUGUGAAGCACAACUAAAUUGACUUUUUUCUCUAACAAAAUCACAGUGAACCAGAAUUGCAAUCACAGGGCUCACUUUAGGUUUAAGGCUUUGUGACUGUUGCCAUUUCCACCUCUUUAGUGUACUUGAUCUUGUAUUCUUAGGUCUGUAGCUAUAAGCAAGAAUAUUGUAUCAUAUUUCACAUUUCAUCAGUGGCACCCUGCACGACCCCGCAGUCAGAGUUGAAUGUCUUUUCUUUCCUAUUUCAGUAAAUUCUUACUUAUUAACAAUUAUUACAUUGUAUUAUAGUUUUUAUUUAUACAUUUCUUUCCCUUAACUAGACCAUGAUACGUUUAUGGUCAAGGGAAUUAUGUCUUGCUAACUUUGCCCUAUCUUUUCACAUUACAUAUGGCAAAUGCUUGCGGAAUCAAAACAUGGAUUAACAAUUGCAAGAUUUCUCAUGUUUUAGCAUCUCUUAGGUAUAGUACUAUGUCACUAAGUCUAGAGAAUUCAAGAUUGCCAUGGAUAGAAAAUAUUUGGAAAAGGAGUAGACUAGAAAUUACCGGAAAAGUUGAACCUAACCUGUAAUUCCUCUGUGAUGUAGAUUAAUUCUUAUAGCACAGGAUGGUCUUGGCAAGUUAUUUGUCUAAAUAACAACAAAUAUUUACUGAAUACCCAUCAGCUUAAAGAACUGUGCUAGACUUGACUAUUCUUUACACAAACUGAAACAUCUAAAUAAAUCGCAUAAUUAGCAAUUAUUAAAAUGUCUGUUUUCUUGAUUGGUCAUUGACUGUGUAUUGGUUAAGAAAAUAGUAGUGAUUUAAUUUUUCUGGGAAAGACAUUUCAUGUCUCUUCUUUAAAGGCAACCUAUUACUUUACAAUCUUUGAGCUUAUAUUGUUUUCCUUAUCAUAAUAAGUAUAUAUGAAUGUAUGUAUUUUGAAUGUUUUUAUUUUUAAAAAAGGUAAAAUUAAACAGAACAAAACAGAACAAAACAGAUCAUAAGAUAACAAUGUAAGAGACAUAGAUUUCAAAGCAAGACAACUGGAGAUCUUCACUGUCUAUCAUAUUGUCUCUUGUUUUCUUCCAAAUAGUUGUCCAUAACUUUACAUACAAUGAAUUCAUACAAAAUAAAAUAGUAUACAACUGAUUAGAACAGGAUUUUAUGAAGGCAUUUUAGACUAGGCAAUAAGGAAGUCAACAAUGGCUGCCAUAGUGUCUCUCAUUCUCUUCAAAAUAGCUAUCCAUACAUUCAUGUAUGUUGAAAUUGAAACAAAACAGACUAAAAUCACUCUGAACAAAGGCUAAUAGUAUUGCUGGAUUUCACAUCAUGAUGCUAUGGAAUCAGCACUGGGUACCUUAGUGUGUCUUUUUCUUCAAAGUAGCUGUUCAUUUCAUUGUGCUUUAUAUUAAUGAUUCUCAUAAACUUUUUAGAAGUUCUACACAUGCAUGAGUCUCUAAAUGUAUAACUAUCCUUUCUGUAUUAGAAGGAAAAAUAAAACAAAUUCCUAGAAAAACACAAGACGGAAAAGACAUGUAAACAACAAUAGCAAAGAGCCCAGAACACUGACUGUAUAGGCCUUCAAAACAAGGUGGUAUGAGCAUAACUAGUGUUGUUAUUUUCCAUAAUGAUCUUCAAGAGUUCCUCAGAUCACUAUACAAUCAUAUACAUAAUUGUUCUAAUCCUACGAAUAUUAACUAUUUUGUUCCACGAACUUACAGAGUUUGUAGUGCAAUUAUCUUAGCUAUCCUAAGUGUGUUGAUACAAUUUUAGACAUUUUUUAUUUUCCCUUCCUUUUUCUUUUUCCUCAUUUUCCCUGAAAUAUUAUUUUUUCCCUUUAAGCAGAUUCUUAUCCUUUCACUGUAAUCACUGAGUUUUUUGUAUCUUAUGUACUCUUACCAUUUCUUAUGCUAAGGAGACUAUAUGGUAUUUACACAUGUGAGUUUGAUUUAUUUCACUUAUGAGUAUGGUCUUGAGUUGCAUACAUUUACUUAUAAAUAUCUCAAUGUGAUCAUUCUUUACAGCAGAGUAAUACUCCAUUGUAUAAAAAUACCACAUCUGUUUUAUCCAUUCCUUAGUUGAUGGGCAUUUAUGAUUGUUUCCAAGAUCUAGUUAUUACAAAUUGUGCUGCUGUAAACAUGGGUGCACAUAUAUCACUAUGGUAUGAUGUUUUCAGUUCUUCUGGGAAUAUGCCCAGAAGUGGGAUAGCUCGGUCAAAUGGGACUUCCAACUCAGCUUUUUGAGGAACCUCCAGACUGACCUCCACAGUGGAUGCACCAGUCUACACUCUCACCAACAGUGCAGGAGAGUUCCUUUCCCCCUGCAGCCUCUCCAGCUUGUUGUUGGUAGUUUUCUUUAUCCUGGCCAUUCUUUCUGGAGUGAGAUGGACUCUCAGUGUUGUUUUAAUUUGCAUUUCUCUAGUGACCAAUAAUGAACAUUUUUUCAUGUAUUUAUUUGCCUCAUCUGAGAACUGUGUAUUCAUCUCAAAUGCCCAUUUUUGGAAUGAGUCUUUGAAUUUUGGGAUCUGAUUUUUAAAAAAUUCUUUUGUAUAUUCUAUCCAGAAGUCCUUUGUUUUGAGGGACCGUUCACUAAGAUUUUUUUUCCCAGUUUGUAGGUUUUCUUUUGGCUAUUCUGGAGGUUUCUUUCGACCUGCAAAAACUGUUUAACAGGACACGAUCCCAGUUAUUAAUUCUGUGUAGUAUUUCAUGUGUGGUUUGAUUCUUGUUCAUGAAUUUUCUACUUACCCCUAUGUCUUCAAGAUUUUUAUCUACAUUGUCUUCCAACAGAUUUAGUGUUUCAGUUUUAAUAUUUAGAUCUUUUAUCCAUUUAGACUUUAGUUUAGCACAUGGUGAUGGGCAUGAGUCUAGUUUUAGUUUUCGGCAUAUGGAGAAUCAACUUUCCAGUGUAUGUUUGUAUGUAUUUUAAUACCAGGGAUCGAACUCACGACUUUGUGCUUGCCAGGCGGGUGCUUAUGCCAACGAGCUAGAUCCCUGGCCCAUUUUUUGAGUAGAUAUCUUUGUGCCUCUGUUUUUAUUUUUAAAUUGUUGAAUAAAAUUGAAAGACCUUGUUCCUCUAAGAACCUAAGGUUAUUUUCAGAAACCUUUGAAGUUUACAUUGAAGAGUAUGGGCUUUAGAAUGACUGCAUUACUUUAAGAUUGGGCUUUGCUACUUAGAACUGUUUAACACUAGCAUUUCUUUGCUAUUUAGUCAUCUUUAGAAUAGACAAAAUAGUGGUACCUAUCACACAGGGUAAUGCAGGGGGAUUAAAUAUGACGAUGGUAAAAGAUUCUUAACCAUAAUUGUUAGCUCUUAGAACAUACACUCUAUAUACAAAUAGUUUUGAAAUGAAAAUCCACUGUAACAUACUCCUACAUAGCACAAAAAAUAAAUUUUUAAUUUUCAAAAAAGUUUAAAUUUUACUCCUUAUAAAUAUGUACAUAAAAUAGUCAUGAUUUCUGUGAGAGAAAUGACCAGGUGUAUUAGAUUUUUUCCUGUAGAAAUAGGAUGUAUCCAUCAUUCAGAAAACAGUAAUCACAUUAGGAGACUUUUUACUAGCUUCAUUUUUCCUGUCAGUUGUUGCGUAUAGUUAAGUUGUUGCUCUGCAGCUUGGUACCUGUACUCUAACUUGUCACCAGAUAUGUUCUUAAUGGAUUGAUGUAACCUUAAUGAAAUCUAGUCUUGCUGAAUCACUAGACCUGCUUUUCCCUAGAAGGAUCUUUAUUGGGACCUGACAGAUCACCUCUCCAGAGCCUUCAGACAUUCUGUCUCUCUAAUUCUUCUCCAUAACGAGUUUUGUGCUGCAUGAUAAAAUAUUCAUGUUAAAAUAGGUUCUAAACUAAUUAUCUCCAGCCAGCAGUUGCCACUGCAGUCAUUUGCUGUUAGUUUGGCUGAAGUUAAUGGCUUGUAUUUCAGUACAAAUAGUCCCUUCUGGCUGUUUCCUGCCUCUGAUCCUUAUCCUAAAUGGAAUUUCCAUACAUAUGUGGAGUUAAUUCUUAUUUUGAAAGGCAAUUUUGUGCCCUACUUUUUCCGUCUCAUUUUGCUAUGAUUAACUUGAUUUUGGUGUCCAUUUCCUUAUUGUUAUAGUCCACCUUCAAUCCCUAAAUCAUUGCUAAAUUUAUGACUCCCUACACUGUCCAAAAAUAAGAAGUCGCUAUCAAAUUUACAUUUAAUAGGAUACAUGAUAUCAGAUUUUUAAAGAAAAAAAAAUACCAUAGUAAGUAUAAAAUUUAGUUUCUGUGUAUAACAUAAAUGUUUUUGGAUAGAUGCUGGAGGCCUACAGUGGAAGUGUUAUAAUAGGAAUUAACCACUUAUGGGAGAAUUCUGGGACUGGGAUGACAUAGGAGAAUAUUUUCUGUGGGUGUUGUUGGAAAUGAUGGAUAAAACAUCAUAGGAGAGGGUGAAUGAAGUCAAGAGCAGGGGAGUGAGGACUUGAUCUUAAGAGAAUACACAGUGUGAUACAAGAGUGAGAAAACCAGAGUCUUGCCAGGAUGGAACCCUUCCUGAUACCCAAGACCUGUGUUAGGCUCUUUAUUGGGGCUUAUGUAAACUUUCCUUGUUUCAGUGAGUGAGUGAGUGAAUGAAUACACUAGUGAAUGAGUGAAUGGUAAAGCAGUAAGUCAGAGAAAAAGCGUGUUUUUAUUUAAGUAAAAGAUGGGCCUUCUUCAGAAUGUUAAGUAACUCUCACCUCAGGAUUAUAUCACUGAACAACUCACCAAUGAAAAACUGACCUGGAAUGCUUCAACAGGGAGUCAGAAACCUGUUCCUUUAACACAGAUAAUACAGCUUUUAUUCACCCUGAUUUUUUUUAGGCUGGUGUGAACAUCACACUUUUAGAUAUCACAUGCUUUCUUUUUCAUCCUCCAUUCUCCGUACCAAUUUUAUGUUGCAUAUUGGGUCUUUACUAAUUAAAUGACAAAUGCAUUUUUAAUGGCCUUAAGAUUUCAUGAGUCAGGGUGAGCGAUUUGAUUUUGAAAUUUAAAAAAUUUCUAUUUUCAUGAAUUUAAAAAAUACAAUUUUUUCAGGAAGUAGAUUUAUUAAAUUUAUACUUUUAGGACUUGUCAAGGUGUCAGGAUACAGAUGUGUAAUAAGUAAAGUAUGCAUGCUUUUUAUGAGUUUUUGAAUAGUUAAAAAAAAAAAAAACUUCCUGAUACUAAUUGCCCUAAUCUAGUAAUCCAUUUGUCAUUGUACAUAAAGCAGCACAAACAUGAAGAAACGUGUUAUCUUCUCGUGCAUUGUUUCUGACCUGUGAUAUAUGUUUCUUAAUUCAUCUGCUCUUUAUUCCUUGAUCAAAGUAGCAGUGUGUCUGUAUAACUUUCAUGAUGAAAUCCCUGCUGAAAGGAGCAGUUUUACAUUCUGAUUUUUUCCCCCUAUUUUCUUUUUUGGUAACAGGAAUCGAACUCAAGGCCUUGCUUUUGCUAGGCAGGUACUGUGCUGUUGAGCUAUAUCCCCAGCCCUACAUUUUGAUUCUGAUGUUUUGUUUUGUUUUUGAAAGCAUUUUUGGCCUGGCAUCUGUUAGAUAUCCUAGAAAAUGUGUAAAAAGUAAGAAUAUUACAAUCAAACCUAUUUUGGAGUCUACCAUAGCUUCAAAUUAAAAACUUGCUGAUAGUGUUUUUUUUUUUUUUUAUUGGUUUCCUAGGCAUAAUGCCAUAAUAAUCAAUUUCUUUCAUUAAAUGCACGGGUACUACUUUAAGGUCAUGAAAAACCUGAGGCAGUAUGGGUAAACAAUGUUAAAAAAUUUAAUGUGAAAAUAUGUGUUUAAAUACUCUUCCUCAUAAUGUAGAAUGAUACAUUAAAAAUUAUAGAUAAAUUUUAUACAUUUUUUAAUUUCCAGGGGUUAAUACAAUUUUUAUUUUUCUUCCAAUAGUUUCUUCCUGUAUACUCUGUGGUUAUACUCACUGUACAUGUAUGUGAUGUAAACUGUAAACUGAUGUAAAUGGAAUCCUGAUCAGGUAGUAUAAUUAAGACUUAAUACUUCAAAUUAUCUAGUAAACUUCCAUUUGCUGAGAGGGCAAGCUACUGAUGAAGAUUGCUUCCCUAGAAGCCUGAAGGGCAGCAAGAGGGAUUCUGUGUCCAGAUACUCACCAGGGAUUCAAUGUGACCGGCAUUGGCCUUUCUUACUAUUUUAAGGCUCACAUGCAUAGAGGAAGUAUAUGAUAAACAUUAGUUAUGUAAAAUAUUUUUUAGAUCUAUAAUCUUGAGCAGUUAAAUCUUUAGAUUUGCACUUUGGUUGACAUUUGGUGUGUAUUUCUAUUUCUGUUUAUUUUCUAUAUCCUUUUACCACUUUUCUGUACUUCUUUUUUUUUUUUUUUUGAGACAACUUCUUCAAUUUUUUUUUUUCUUGAGACAAGGUCUCACUAUGCAGUUUGACCUGGCCUUGAACUCACAUUGUAGCCCAGGCUGGUCUCAAACUAACACCAAUUUGCUUACCUCAGCAUCCCCAGUGCUGGCAUUACAGGCAUGCACCACCACACCAGGCCAUUUUUCUGUACUUCUUAUUAAUUUGUAUAUGUUUGUGUGUAUUAUGGAUGUCCUUUCUUCACUUUGGCAAAAUUAUUUUGCCAGUUGUUUCUUAUUUUAAAAACUUUAUAUAGUGUUCUUGAUUAUAAAAAGUAUAUUUUCUACUAUUUUAUGUAUAGCUUUUUGAUUUAAAAAUAUUGUCUAGUAAGACUUCCUUAGCCCAACAUUAAAAAUAAAGAUUUCUGCCUUACUCUUAACUUUUCUGUAGUACAAUUAGGUCUUUAAUUCAUGUGAAACUUAUUUGUGUAAUAUGUGAGAGCAAACUUUAAAUUUUUUUCCUGAUGUCCAGUCAGUGUCUCAAUAUCUUUUAUAGGCUAGCUCUGCCAUUUCUAAUUAUUUUAAAUAUCUACUAAUUCUCAGUUUCUUGAUUUCAGGUGAAAACAAUGUUAGUUCAGUGACUUAAUGAACUCUGAGGAGAUUCUGUAAAAAACGUUUUGCUGUUCUCUGGUAGUCACAAGAUGGGUGUUUCUAGUACCGUAAUUAUGUUCAUAUCUAAGCAGGAGGUUAGGGAUAAGAUGUGUCAGUAUGUGACCUUGUAUUCAGUGAAAUAAAAGCUUUCUCAGGUCUCCUCUGUUUAUAUCUGGUGCUAUGUAGGGAAUGCUGACAAAGAAACAUGUAGCUUUCUAAUCUCUACUGUGGAAGAUGGGGUAGAGUAGUGUUUGGGUAUCCAGUAAACACCAUUUGCCUUUGCAAUAAGGAUAAAAUUACCCCUGAAAAGUAUCUUAAAUUGUAUGAGAAGAGCUGUAUGUCAUAAAUACUUUUUAAAAAGUCUUUCACUGGCAUUUUCUAUGUGCCUUAUUUAGUUCAUUUUAUUUUCCCUAAAGACUUUCUAGUAAGCCAUUAUUCCUUAUUUGCCUGCCACUUGUGUACUGCAGGAAAGCUCCUGGAAACUAAAAAGAAAAAUCAUUUAGUAUUUGUUUCCAUCAUCUUAAAAUGCCAUUUCCUGACUGUAUUUUCUUGAAUAUUUCUAAAAGUGGUGGAAUGCCAAUUCUAUUAACAUAUGUUUAUUGGUUUUUCCCUGUGAAGAAAUAGCUGAACUUCACUGACGGUUUCAUUUGCGUCUUAGUGAACUCUGUCCUGCUCCAGACUGCCUAUGCCUUGAGUUUGGUAUCUAUUCUGAAGAUAAAUCUCACUGAUCUAUGGCCUGACCCCUGAAUUAAUUUCUAACCGUGCUUCCCUUUCGAAUCUUGAGUUCUGCAUUACUAGGUUUCUCCAAUUUCCUGACAUUGGUUCUUCCGGUUAAUGUGGUUCUCUAAAUAUCAUUCAUCUGGUAUUUCUAGAUGUAUCAUUUUUGUUAUGUUCUCAUCACUUAUGGCAUACCUUUGACAAGUAUUUUUUUCUUACCUAGGGAAAGUAUUGCCUUUAUUUUAACUGUGGCUGUUUUUACAAGUGUUAAAGAGCUGGAAAAUUGCAGUUAGUUUCAGAUAAGCACAGCUGAAAUAGUCUUGUUUUGUGUUAGGACAACAAAUUGACAGAAGGAUUGGGGGCAUUGAGUCAUUGUGGUUUCAAAUGAUACAAGUAAUGCAUUGCAAGUAAUGCAUCACACUGGGACCUUGUUACCUAUGAAAUCCAACAUGAAAGAAUCUUAAUUUGUCCUUAGUAGUUCUCAUGCCUCUUAAUAAAAGCUUUUAAUUUUUAAUUUCUGAGUCAUCAUAUUUUGUAUUGUUAGCCUUCCUGUGGCCAAAGCAAAUACUUUUCUAAUUAAUUGUAAUAAAAAAAAGCCUCAUUAAGAGUGCACUGGUCUGCUGGGAUAGAGUGUGGUGACGCAUAAAAUCAUGAAAAGGAGCAUGGAAUCAUUUUGGACAAUUUAGUGCUACUUUUGUAUUGAAAAUGCUUAUUUCAGGCCAAGGAAGACUAUUUGUAAUCAGAUUUGGAAGGCUGAACAUUAUAUUUUAGAGUGUUAAAUUUCAUUUAUUUGAUUUAUGUUGUGAUGUCCAGUCUGAUAUUAGUGGUCAUUUUUAACAGCCAUUUUCAAUGUCAUAUGAAAUUGAAAGAGAUUGAGGGGUUGAGGGAGGCAAAAUGGAUUUUUAAUUAUUGAAGUAUCUAGAAUGAACAAAAAUUUAGCUUCAAGGAGUGUUUGUUUUAAAAAGUGAUUCAAAUUUGGGCAAAUUAAUGUUCUCUCACAAACCAUCUGUAAAGAAUUGAGUUUAAUUGUCCUGUAGCUGUUAUAGGUUGUGAGAUUUCUACUUCUAAUUCUCUUCCAUCUUUACAUGCCACAUAUUUUUUCGUCCUGUUCUUGUACAGGUCAGAUAUGAUAGCUUAUGUAGAAAAAUUAAGACACUUUAGUGUUCUUAAGAACCUAAAGAUAGGUGUGCUUGUCUUUUAAAGACCUCUCUCUAAGCACCUAACAGUCAGAUUUUAUGUGCGUCAGCUAUAGCAUAGAUGUGUAUAGUUUGAGAUGUCUGAUAUGUUAUCUGUCAUUUCUGUGCCUCCACCAAAAUGGUUUAGUAAAACUAUAUGGAACAAAUAAACUGGAAAAAUUUAGGUGAAUCAUAAACUACAUCAAGUCCUUAUAAAACAGGCCCUUAAAACAUAGGGAUUCGAAUAUACUUGCUUAUGCUUUUAACAUAAAAUACACAUUGGGCAAAGACAGAAAUUUGUUUCUACAAAAUUGCCAGGAACUAAAUUACACAUUGAGACUGCUGUCUUCUGACAUCAACUCUUUGUUCAUGUGAACUUUCCUGCUGAGUUAUUCUUUGAGGCAUAAUACUAUUGAAUGGAGUUGCUUUAGAAGAAAAUGUAGGUGCUAAGAAUACUUUAUUCUUGUUGAUGUAUUAGUCUUACAUUGGACUGUACAGAAAGAGCAUUUGCUUCAGUGAAAUUUUUUUAUUAUGCCUACCUAGUUACAGUUCAGAGUUUUCCUUUUUUGGUCUCUUUUCUCACCUAUUUUCAAUAGGAAAUUAAAUUAUAAAUAAGAAAGAAGAUUUAAUCAUUUUUAUGACAUCCUUUCGGACCACUCAGGAGCCCAAGGGACAUUUUCAUGGGUGAGGUCCACAGGUUAAAGAGAACACAUGUGUGCAGUACAUCAGCAACUACAGCAGGUAACAUGGAACAAAGGUAGAGCAAGAGCGCCACAGCACAAGAGUACCUGCCUCUUCAUUUUUUGUAAUUCUAUAUGGGUUGUUAUCUUAUAUUUAUAUUCUUACAUUGUGCUGUAACUUGUGCACGUAUAUUUACUGCACUAAGUCAUGGUUACAUAACUGUAUCUCACUGUGCACCUGCACUGGGAACCAGGGUCACAUCCUCUAGUGUCCUGAGAUGGCCCUAAGCUUCGAAGCAGUCUGGUUCCCCACACGCACUUUUAGCCAAACCAACUAAAGUGCACUUUCAAUCUAACAAAACCAUUACAGUGAUCAUUGAAAGAGAAAAUCCAUGGGAAAUUCUGUGAUGGUGCCUAAGACAUAGUGAGUGUUCAGUAAAUAUGUUGACAACUAUAGAUUCUCUCACUCAAAGAGUGUUAUUAUUAUUAUUAUUUUUUUUUACUUAGAGGUCAGAGUGUGUUAGAGAUAGCUCAAGAAGGAGCAAAGUCUAAGCCACUGAGUCUCAAAAUUUAGUUGCAUGAAGAACUUUUUGAGGACUUGUAAAAACAUAGAUUUCUGGGAUCCACCUUUAGAACUUGUGAUUCAAUAGCUUUGGGCUAAAGUUGCCAGAUAAAAUAUAGCGUGUUCAAAUGAAUUUGUUAUGUGUAAUAUGUGGAACUUGGUUAUAUUAAAAGAAAAUAUCAUUGUGUGUCUGUCAUUUCAACAGGCAUGUUGCUUUUUUUUUUUUUAAAUUUUUGUUAGAUCUGCAAAAUCUAUCCUGUCACAGUGUAUGUUUCAGUGUACUGGUAAAUAAUGCCACAUAUGAGGUCUUGCUGUGUUGAUGUCCAGACUGAUCUUGGAUUUCAUAGGCUCAAUUGAUCCUCCUCACCUCAACCGCCUGUGUAUAGGAUCACAUUUCAAGAAGCUAUAUACCUGAAGCUAUAAACAAAUAUAUAUAAAUUAUAUAUGCAUAAAUAAAUUACGCAUUGCCAACAUUGUUCUGAACAUCUGUUAUUUCAUUUAAUAUGUUACGGAAUUUUCUUUAUAGGUUGUUAUGGCUAAAAACUAUUUCAUUUUAUUGAUGCACUAGAGUUUAUUCUACUAGUCCUCUGUUAAUGGGGAUUCAUGUUAUUUCCAAUCUUUUGCUACCACAAACAGUGCUACAAUAUAGAUGUCCUCUCACAUAAAAUAAACCUGUAAGAUAAAUUCCUGACAUGGAAAUUUGUGGGUUACAUGGCAUAUGUUUUUGUUGGGGGCUGAUCAGACUUCUGGACACCUAAGGAGAGAAGAGCGUGGAACAAAGAAAGGCAAAAGACAAAAUUUAAGGCACUGUCGCCCAAAGAUUCCCAAGCCAAGCCAAGCCAAACCAAACUGAAAGGAAGAGUCUUUGCCCCAAAGAGAUAAGAAGGCAGCGAUUAACCUUUAUACCAGCAGACCUUUGGAUCUUCAUGCCAGUGGACUGUCAUGGGUUAAUUCCUCAAAGGCAAUGGGGCUGAGAGUUUAGUUUAUAUAGAGAGUUUAGGGAGAGUUUAGUUUAUAUAGAAUUUAGAAGUGGGAGGUACAUGCAAGUAAUAAAAUAUUACAUAAUUGGUUUCAUACAUUGAGUCAUAUUGACAGGCAGGCUAGUCUUGAAACAAAGGAAUUAUUUCUCAUAAUUUAGAAACAAGGGGAGAGGGCCCUUAUAGAGUGAGGAUAGUUAAAGGAUUUACUACAACACAGGAACAUUCUGGGGAGGGGCCCUUGAAUUAGUUCAAGGUGACUUCAAGUGUAGACAAUUAUUCUGACUCUGCUCAUCAGAGGUAUGCAGCUAGUCUGAAGACAGGUCAAGGUUAAUUGAAUUCAGUGGAAACAGCAGAACAGAAUGUUCGUUAGAGACCUCUAAUUGAUCAUGAAAUAUCUAUGUUUGCCAUCUUAUAAAUGUGAUCCUACAUUGUAACUGUGUCUCAGCAGUACAAGGGGACCAGGAGGAUCUUGCCUCUAGUGGCCAAGCACAACACUCUCAAGGCUGACCCGCUUUUACUAGCAAACAAGAAGCAUAGGGUGAGGAGAAUAACACUUGAUUAUGGAAUGGCAACUAUGGAGAACGAGUAAAAGGGGGAUGAGUUAGUGAGCCAGAUUUCUUUCCAUGUCCAGCCUGUAUUUUGACUACAGUCCUCAUUGGAUGUUAUCUUGCUUCAGGGAUGCUAGGUUAUCAGCAUUCCAUUCACAGCCUGGGACUAUGAGAUCUUCUCUUUAGUUUCCUGUUCCUGAGGCAAGAUAACACCAACCUCUGGACCAUGGGGAAAUACAUCAAUCAUACAUUUAGAAGUCCUGUGAUCUAUCACAUGGCCUGGUUCCCAACCUGUGUUUAUAGUUUUGAUUAUUGUGUUUGUAGUAUAACAAUUUGCUCUACUGUCUGUCAUAAUGGUUAUUCCAAUUUAUACUUCAGCAGCAAUUUUCUUCAUUCUUUACAUUCUUAUUAAUGCAUUGUGUUAUCAAACUCCUGACUUACUCCAUACCUGAUGUAUAAAAGACUUUUAGUUUGAAUAUAUAUUUCUCCUAAUUGUGAGACUAAGUUUUUUAAUAUAUGGGCAUUUUUUUCUUUUUGUGAUCUGACAUUAUGCAUAAUUUUAUUUCCUUUUUUCUUCUUAUUGUAGAAAUUCUUUGGAAGGGAAGCAUUUUGAGAUAUGAGUUUUUAAUUUUUUUCCCAUUUAUACUUGGACUUUUCUUAUCAUAGUUUUUGCCAUGCAAAAUGUUUAAUUUAUAUUUUGAAAAUAUGACAAGGUUUUCUUUUAUGGCUUAUAUUUUUAUGGCUUAUGUUUAUAACACAGUUAUAAAAGGUUUCCACCAAUUGAGGUUAUACUCUAAGGCAUUUUAUCAGUUUUAUUUUUUACAUGUAAAAUUUUAUUCCAUUUGGAAAUUACCUAAGGAUAAACCAGGAGGAAAUUACUUGACUUCUGCUUUGACUCCACUAAUUCAAUUAAAUUUUAUUGAGUAUCAUUCAUGUGCAAAGAAUUUUGCUGGAUGCUUUCUUCUAAGGUAUCUUAGAGAUAAGUAGGAUGAAUAGGAUUGCUAAAGGAGGUGAAAUGUGAAUAAACAUAAGAAGUAUAAUGCUAGAGAACUUUGGAAAUGCAAAGAAAAAAUGACAAAUUACUUAUGUGUAUAGGACAGUAGAGUACUCACAAUAAGGAACUAUAAUAAAUUUAUUUUUAAAUGGAAUCUUAAAAUAGUUAACUUUAUAGACUGCUGAUUAAUAGAUUGAUUUAGGAGACCAGGUAUAAGCUGAGUUAAAGAAUGUUGACUGUAUAGAGUGAGUUGUAUUUACUGAUGAUAUGAUUCACUAUUGAAGAGGGAGUUAAGAGAGAGAGAGAAGGAAAAAGAGAGAGAGAAGGAGGGAGAGAACUGCAUGUUUCAUGUUUCUGGAAUUCCUUUUCAGAAAGAAUGCACAGAACAUAAAAUUUAAAAAAGAUCAAAGAUCUGAAAACAAACAAAAACCUUAAGAUAACUAGAAACUUGAUAGCAUAAAUUUUCAGGUGAUAGAGAUAAAGAAACUCAAUCAUGUGAAAAAAUGGGUACUGUUUGCUACAUCUGAGGAAAAUAAGAAUUUUCAGUCACCCUACAGGAGACGACAAAGAUGUUAGAUAUGCCCUGAGACAUAAUGGAUGAGAGGCCAGCUUCAUUUCUCAAAGUUAGAUGAAAUGUUAAGGUAACAUAACUUCUAGGAAAGUGAGUAAGAUUUCAUUGUUAGGUACUAGCAGGCUUUUUAACAGAAAAAGAUAUCAAAUUAUUUUAAAAGCAGACUAUAAACAUACAUAACUACUUACCAUAGUUAAGCAUGCAUUAACCUCAUGUUAAUAGGAAAAUGAAGAAUGUGAAAGAAUUUUGAGAAAAAACACUCCCUAUUUUACACCUCUGUGUACAGUUGGAUGUGUGUUUGGGUCACAUACCAUUAUGAUAAGGCAUUGAGUUUUGUUUCUAGAGAGAUAAAGGAAGUAUAAAAUAUUUAUUCCUUUUUAGUUUGACUAUCAUUCUCUAUUUUAUAAAUGAAGGUUAGUAUUCUUUUCCCAAAUUUCAUUGCCCAAGUUUCCAGGCUUCUUAAAAUGAUUUUGUGGUUGCCGCUGGAGAUUUGUACUUUGGAAUAGCUAAUAUUUCACAUUUCUGUCUCCUAUGCUUAUAGGAAAUAUCCUAUUUUUUUUUUUAUUUUUCAGUUCACCAUUAAGUUUUUAAAUAAAAAUUGCAAAAUGUAUUAAAAUAUCAAAUAGUUGUCUAACUACUUCUACAUGAAGGUGGUAGUGCUAUUGAAACUGAGUUGUGAGUGAGUAGGAAUACUUUUGUGGGUUAUCUGGGAAUAUUUAACAAUUUAACUUAGGUAUAUAAGGGUCAAGUUGUAGUGUCAAUAUAUAAUGUGUGAGUGGUGGCACCAAAUGAAUGUUGAUGACCUCUUGCUUUUCAAACUUCAGCAGACAAGAUGGAGGUUAGCAGAGGUCCCCAAGUCCCUAAGACUUAGAAUUGAGAUUCUGAGGCAUUACAGCCUCAAUGAUUAGUGAUCAGUCAAUCACAUAGCAGAAGGGAAUAAAACCUAAAGCAUAUUUUUCUGUGUAUACAAGGCAAAUUUGUGGCUAAGUUUAAUAUUAAGUUUUUCCAGAUGGCAUUAUUGCUUCCCUCCCAGCAUACAUUUCUCUUUUACCAUAGUACUUCUUAAUUUUCAGUGUGCCUCAUGUAAUUCUUGGUAAAGAUGCAAAUUUAUGAUCUCUAAACUGAGAUUUUUGAGUCAGUAUGUGUCUUAAUUACUUUUUACUCGUUGCUGAGACAAAAUACCUGAAGCCCAAAGCUGGGAAAGGAAAGGUUUAUUUCUUACAGUUUUUGGAGGUUUCAGUCCACACUCAGUUGGCUCCAAGGCAGGCAGGCAUGGCUGGGCCGCACUUCAUGGCAGCUGCAAACAGCAAGCCGGAACCAGCAAAGAGCAAGACACACCUUUUUCCUGCAUUACAUCCCAUCCUGGCUCCACCCCUAUGUGGAUGGAGCACUGACACCAUUAAUCCAAGCACUAAACAAUGAACCGUCACAAAUACACAAUGCAAACACAUGAGGCCUGGGGACCACAGACAUAAACCAUGACAGUAUGUUUGGAAACAGGAUCCAAGAAUGUGUAUGUUGGUAUAAGUACCCAUUCAGGUACAUAUGGAUCUUUGUGUCACUAUUUGAGAAUUCUGGACUGUAUCAUGCAUUAAGCUAACAUACCUUGAAGUUAAAUAUCAAGGUCAUAUAUGUGGAAAGUUGGAAAAUCAGGAGUCGUACUCAUUCUUUUAAUACUUUCUUAUGUAUGGCUUUUAUGUUUCUGCAAUAUUAAGGGACUAAUUCUUCCUAGAAAUUUUAGAAACAUCUGAACUGAACAUGAUGCCAUUUGUGUUGUGAGGUACAGAGAUGUAUGUUGGGUAUUAACUAAAAUAAAAUUGCCCAGUAUCAGCUAUCUUUAUACAGGUAUUUAAAAGAAGACUUUGAUAACUAAAGUUUUAACAGCAGUGUAAUUUGGAAUUAGUUACAGAUGCUACUUUAAAUAUUUGUAUCUCCAUACUUACUGAAUGAACAAUCUGGGUAGUGAAGCCUUUCUUCAUAGCGGACUUUGAGUUGAUUUGAAAUCUACCUUUAAAUGAUUUGUGAAACAUACAGUUUAAAUAUUAAAAAAAAAACAAAUGAAGGAAGGAUGUUUGUGAAAGUAACUAGUAAAUGUUCAGCUGGGUUAGUUUCUAGAUCAUAAAAUGGUUGAUAGCAAGACAGGUAGGUCUCAGAACAGCAAUCAAAUAAACCCCUUCAUGCUCCAUAUCAAUACAGUAUCCCAGACAGAGGAAGUCAGUCAAUAUGGAUAUUACUAGUAAAAGUGCAUAUCUCUAGAAGAAAGCAUGUAUGUCCCUGUGUGCUGCUAUAACAAAAUACAACAGAAUGAGUAAUUUAUAGAGAACAUUAAUUUAUUUUCUCAUAGUUCUUGAGAUUGGGAACUCCAAGAUAAGAUGCCAGCCUCUUUGGCUUUCUAGAGAGGUCUGCCUCCUCUGGCAGGGAGGAAUAUGGUAUCAAUAUGGGGUGAAGGUGGAAGGGGACUCAUUCAUGAGCGAGAAAACUUCAUGGUCUAAACACCUUUUGAAGACUCUGCUUCUUAAUACCAUCAUGCUGUCAACAUCUCAGUUUUGGAGGGGACAUUUUGAAACUAUGGCAGAAACUGAAUGAAUAAAUAAUUAGAAUUCACUAAUUUUUGUUGUUAGUGAAUACUUCGGUGAAAAUAAAAAAUGGUGGAAGGAAUCUGGUGGAAAAAGCAGUUUUAUUUGGAAUAAAAACACUUGAUAUCCUAGAAAGCAGGUAAUUACUUGAACGGUUAUAGUUUUGCUUAAAGGUACUUUAGCACAGCACCUUAGUCUAUUUCCUUUUGUUUCAGAAUCAUUAUGGCUUAUUUAGCACUUAAAUUGUCCCUCGAAUGCUCUCUAAAUUUGUCUUUUAAAUUUCCAGCAGUGCAAAUGGUAAGUCUGAGUUAUAGCUGUGAAUAAUUGAAUAGUCCAAAACAUGAACUUGCCUGGAAAAUAAAACGAACUGAAAAAUCAAUACGCUUAGGGGAAAAAAACAAAAAAACCUUGGAAAAGCUUAUUCAAUAUAAAAAUAACAAUAAAUCAAGAAUAAUAAAUAAGUUGGAUAAUCAUUUUACUUUGAACAAUAGAAAUAGAAAAUUGACAGUUUCUCUGAGUAUAUAUGAAAGGUUUCUAGCAUUUGAAAGGUUAAGGAUGAAUAUAGGAAGUAAAAUUGAAAAUAUAUAUCUAUAACAGCAAUUCCUUCUGGCAUAACAAAAAUCACUUUAGUGAAAUAAAAUGGUAAACUUUUAAGAUGGAUAUAUUACUGACUUAAAAGAGCUAUUUGGUUUAUGGGGAAGGGUUUAAGGUGUCUCCAAGUGUCAUUUCACUGAAACAGCAUGAUUGCAAUUGCUGACUGUUAAUCCAAGAAUAGUGGUACGUUAUCUGUAUUGGUUUAAAAAGACUUAGGAUUCUGCUUCCUACUAAUAAUUAUAUUUUCCAACUGAACAAGUACAAGGUCCUACUAUGAAAACAGGGGAACUAUUUUGGGAAAACAGUCGAAUACUUUUAAAUUUUUUAGCCAUGUAUUUUCCACUUGCCAGGAAACAUUAUUCAGAUUCGAUGAUAAUAUUUCAGGAUGUAAGCAUAUUAUAAAACUCUUAACUUUAUAUAAGUAAGUUGAAAAUAUUCCAUCUAUAAACAAAAGAAUGUCACAUUCAACAGUGGUAAUACAUAAACAGGUAGAGCUUGAAUAUAAUUUAAAUGCCUACUUUGAAAUUACCUGAUUAAAAAUAACUUUAAAAAAGGAUACCUUACUGUAUUGUAUAUUAUUUUAGAGCCAGGUGGAACCUCUCUUUUUUUUUUUUUUUAACAGAGUAACAAAUUGACCAAAUAUAUCCAGAGUGGUAAAAUACAUUUGUACAUUUGUUAGUGAUAGAAAUAAUUAGGAACCUAAGUAUUCAGGCACCAAUCCAGGUAAGCUAUAGGACUCCCCAGAAGAGUGGUAAAAGGGUCAGUUUCAGUGUCACAUCCUGGAGAGAGGGUAGUAUUUUCGUCCCCUCAUCAUGCUUUCUCUGGCAAGUCUUGGGCUCUGAUCCUCUGCUUGGGCCUGUCCAUUCAGGGGAAAUUAGGGACCUAGGAGGCUAAUACUAUGCUCUCCAAAACACACAGUCCUGCAGAACACUGAGAAUUUAGAACCAGGAUUUAACUGCUAGCCUAGGGAUUGGUUUGUAACUGUCAAGGGUGGGUGUUCCUGUGGUGAUUACAAGAUUUCAUGUAUUUCUGGGAUUUCAUGUGUUUCUACUAUGAAGGAGUAUAAGAAUAUUCUUGCAAAACCUUAAAACACCUUUGUAUUUAUCGUACAAUGCUUCCAGUUAUUGUAUAGGACAUUUAAAACAUUUUAUCUUUUCAAAGUGCUUCUUAACUUACCUAGGUACAACUUCUGGUAAAUUGCUGUUUUCAUUAAUAGUUUGUGUGAUUUCAUGUUAUUAUUUGUGUGUAUAUCUGAUGAAUAAAUAUAAAAUGUAUAUAUGUAAGACAUAUCUCAAGGCUUUUGAAUAGAGCCUGUGCCUGUGUACAUAUAUGUUUUUGAGCAUUCACACAUGAUCAUUUGAUUGUGCUGUAAUUGUAUAUAUCAUCUAUAUAUAUAUUUAAAAUUUUGUAAUAUAUUUACACAUUUAUCAAUAUACUCCUACUUAUAUGUAUUUUUAGAUUUUUUAGAGAAUUAAACUGAAUCUAGAUUAUAAGCUUCUUUACUAGACUGCAUGCCUCUUCAAAAUAGAUAGUAGAUGAAAAUCUUUGCUAUUUGACCUGGCUUGGGUCUCAGGUAAGAUGUGUAUCUUUGUUUAAGGAGUAGGGUCAGCAUGCUUUUUGUUUGUGUGUCUAGUCAAUGUGUUGUAUAUUUAUGUACAGUCAAUCUGUUGGUCUAGAGGGCUGGUGCCCAGCCAUUCCUGACAGCUGCCUCAAUCCUGAAAUGUCAACUCUUUGCAAGCAUAAAAUGAAUCUCAAUGUCAGCAUAGCCAUUUCUUCUCAGAAAAGUAAAUAUUCUCACGUUAAUGUUGUAUGUGUGCCUGACACUGGGUGCUCUUUCUCUUUUUCUCAUUAGAAACCCUUGUUGAAAGGAAAAAGACAUAUUCUCAGUUUCCUGCUGAGAAAGUUUUAAAGCAAUUUCUUUUCAAAAGGAAGUUAGCGUGUAUUCAUUUUCUCUUGUCCUUUCCUCUUUUAAUUUACCUCUCAUUGGUUCUGUGUUUCACUGCCACCACAUUGUCCAUGUCUUUGUCACCUCAAAUUUGAGUUUACUGUAUACUCAGUUGUUGUCUCUCUUAACUUUGAUUCAUUGAAUAUAUUGUUUACUUCAGUGCACGUUUAUUUAGUGUGGUAAUAAUGGACUAAAUCUUAGUAGUAGAUUUUAUUGAAUAGUCAAUCACAAAGCAGAUCAGAGAAAUACUGGUUUAUUAUCUUUGAAGCACUAAUUUAAAAAAUCUCUUCAAAAAUUGUAUAUACAUCACAUAUCCAAUACUACUCAGAUAAUGAAAACAUUUAAUACAUAUUUGCAGAAUAAAACAAUUACCUUGAUUUAAAAAUUAUGCUUUGGUGGUAGGCUAUGGUUAUAGAGUGGCAGUAGAGAGGAGCAAAUCUAGUCUGUUACUUGUCCUCAGAUAACCAAUUUCAUGAGUAGAUCAUUUCUUGAAAUUAACAUUGUAAUAAAAACAGUAGAACAAAGUUGACUAAACCAUAGCAGCGCUUCUAUCUUUCUGUUUUUUCUUGAUGACCAGUGGUGUACAAUUUAAAAAUACUCUUGUCUGUGCUUAAAGCUGUCCUCCAAUCCUCCCUUUUCCUUUCUUUACCAGUGAACUUCUCCUUGGUCCCAUAAGGCCAGUCUGUUUUUGCAUUCCUCAGUUCUGAUUUCUUUUUGGCAGGAGGACUAGAUGUGGUUGACAGAUUAUAUCUGAAAGGGGCUUUGGUAAUUACGCGUUCUAUGUGGUGACUGUGUUACUGACAGAUGGGCACAGUGAAUAUUGAAUGUGUUCUGGACCUCCGCAUUCCCUUCAGCUUGGGAGUAGGGAGCACUGCCAGUGUUUUUCUUCUAAUCUAUUAGCAAAUGUAAAAAGAAUCACUUGGAUCUUCGCAUGUUAACUAAUUCACGUUUAUGGCUACGUUGUCUCCUACCUCUUCUACUCCCCCCUUGUUAUAUACUCUUCGUAAUAAGGAAAAAUCUUCAAGAUGUUAGUGCAGGCUGGCAUGAAUGAGUGCCAACAGUUCUUACAGACUUGUUAAAAGAUUUAUUUUUUGCUUGAGAAUUACACAUAUGGCCUAGAAUGAUAAUAUUAGGAUCUGUGUUGGUUGAGAUAAUUGGCAGAUCACACCUUAAGAAAAGUGAUUGGUUGGCUUCUGUUUUUUACUUCAGUCUGUUGCUUCCAUCACAGUGAAAUUAUAAUUAUGUAAUAUAUUACUAUACACUAUGAAAGGUCAUUUAACCCACUUACAGAGGACAUCUGUUAGUUGAAUUUUAACUAACGGUUAAGUUAUUAUCUUACAUUGCCUUAUUGCUAACGGUCAGCAAAGUCAAAAUGAGCAAAGGUGGGGGAAUUCCAAUAAUGACAGAUUGAUAAAAGCUGAUUCCUUGAGGAGGGAACAGUGACUAUGUAGAUAAUACUAAAGGUGAUCUCAUUCAGUAGAAAGAUAAACAAUCUGAAGUACAGAAAUGAGAACUUGAAGCCAUCUUCAUAAUAGAGGAUAUUUGGACUACAGUGUGGUUUUGAAGAGGUACCUAUGAAGAGGUAUCCAGAUAGCCCUUUUAUGCAUAGCACAAGUUUAUAAAACUUUGAGAUUUAGAGCAAAUUAAUUUGUCAGUUUAAUUUACAUAAAAUAAGUGCAAGGAUGGCUUGUAAAAUAGCCAUCAUUACAAUUAUUUAAUAUGUAAAUAUUAGCAUUGUAAAACAUUAUUUUUGUAACACCUAAUAUAUAUGAUUAUUAUGACAUUUAUUUCCACUUACAGAAGAGGAUGCUGUGAUUAAAUUGGUUGCUUGCUUUUACGUUCAGGUCUGUUACUCGUGUGUGUGUGUGUGUGUGUGUGUGUGAGUGAAAGAGAGGAAGAAAGACUAUUCUGAGUUGGAUAUAUAUUUUUAUUUCUUAAUAAAUAAGAGAAAAGGCUCCCAUACUUACAGGGGCAAAACAUUUGACUCAGCCGUCCUUUUCACAGGAUAGUUUAUAUAGACUUAAAAAAAAUAAUUGCACACAUAAUAGAAGUUUAAUAGACCUUUGUGGAAUAAUAUUUUAGAUUACAAAGAGAAAAUGUGUCAACUCUAUUUGCUUUGAACAUUUUUUAGUUAGGGUUCAUGAGAGGAAGAGAUUAUACUGUAUUUCCAAGAUAGGCUUCAGUAAUUGCCUGCUUAAUCAGAUGUGGCAGGAUGCAAAAGUAUACUGUGUGUUCUGGAGAUCUGAGGGAUCCAGUCAAUAGUGGAAGGCCUGGAGCAUCCUGCAGAGUUCCACUCCCUACUGGAAAGGGGCACAGUUAGCUGAAAGGCUGAAGUGUGUGCUGCAAGGGUGAAGAGUCCAUGUGGAAAGCCUUGCGAGGGACAUUCAAAAACAGUGGCAAAGACUGGACGUCCUCCUCAGAAACAGAAGUGAGAUUUCUUUUUUCCGAUCUUGGCUAGAAGCCUGUUGAUUGGCACCACCCACACUCAGGGUGGAUCUUCAGUCUUCAGUAAGGCAUUCUUCCCCAUCCAGAAUGGUGCUAAACUAACCCGUUAGGCAUUUCUCAUUCAAAUUGACACCAUAAGUAACCACCACAACAUUCACUGUAUUUAAUGCAGUCAUCAGACUUUAAGAAACAGAAAAAUAAGAUGAAAUUACAAAUUAUGUUUCUUUUUUCUCUCUUUACUAAUGGUGUUUUGUUAAUGGAAAACUUUUGAACUGUGGAAAUGACAUGUUAUGAGUUCCUGAAUCACUAUCAUAAAUACUUACAUUCUUUUCCUCCUAAUAAGACAACUGCUCUUAUAAUUAUUCCAGUGAUUAUUACAAAAUUAGCAGAUCUCUUGGAUAACAUCUGGUUCACUUUUCAGAAAAAAUAACUGAGAGGUUCCCCCUCCCCCAAGUUAAUGACUUUUUUUCAAAUUUGAACAGAUUAGGGCAGAGUCUGGAGAAGAAUUUAGAUGCUGUCAUUCUUGUUCAGUAAUCUUGCUUGUGAUCGUGUUGUCUCCUAUCAUGUUUGCAAUCUGGAUCGAUUGCCUGUAAAAAAAAAUACAGUUUUCAAUUUAAUUUUGCAAUUACUAUCAAAUGUUUUCACCCAUACUUUAAUAAUAGAAUGGUAGAAUUCAAGUUUAUUUCCAUAAACACACACACGCACACACACAUAUAUGCUCAAUGCAUAUUUAUUGACUGAAUGAAUGAAAGUUGUAGUUUUGCUUUGCAUAUGCAGUUUUUAUGACUUCCAAAAGGAAGUUAAAAUCAAAAAAGAAACCAAGACAGAUCCAUCUGGCUUAUUUGGAAGGACAUUAUUGCAUAAUGAAAUACUAGCACAAUCACAUUAUGCAAGUCAGUGUUCAUAAUCAAAUACAAAUCAACAUAAUUGAGAUUAUAGAUUUUCAGGUUAAGUGUUGAUGUUUCUUUCACAACCUUCCAAUAGAUAGAUACAAAUAUUUUUCAAUUCAUUGUACAUUUCAAAUCGUUAUUCUAAGAUUAUUUUCUUAGUGUGUUAAAAUUGUAAUACUUGUGUUUUGUUAUGGGACUGUAACAUAGAGUUAAGGGAAUGGAACGUUUUUAGUUCUGCAUUUUUCUUUUGGCCAUCUUUCUCUCUUUUAUAUCAGUUUCACCUCUCACCAUAUAAUUAGUAUAAUUUUCAUGAUUUAGCUAGCUAUCCUUAGUAAAUAGUCUUUUCAUUUUAUUUUGUGCCACAGAACCUUGUAUAUAAUUCCCAAAUUACUAAUUAUUGUACAUUAUAGAUCUAUUCUAUUGUUCUGUAAAUGGUUUAACUCAGGGACAUAGUUUUAUAUCUCAAAAUCAAUGAAAAAUAGAAUUUCUCAUAGAAAUUUUAGUUGCUGUAUAUCUUAUCACCAUGGCUAGCUUUAAAUAAUGUGAUUCAAAAUAUAUAUAACUAUUACAGCAAUAUACUUUUGAUAGCUUCUUUAAUUAGUAGGUUACUUGUACCAUUACAUAAAGAGGAGUUUUUUCAACAUUGAUUAACAUGAAUAAAGGUAUUUAUGAUUGAAAAUUGAAGUAAUGCACUAUUAAUUUUAUAAAAUAUUUAGUAUAACUAUUAAGGUUCUUAGCAUUCUUUAUAGAAUUAGAGCAAGAUUUACCGAGGGUGCUAAAAAAGCAAAGAAAUAAAUCUUUAAUAGUGUUGCAUUCUGCUAUUCUCUUGGGCUUGUUGUAAAGAACAGGUGUUGGGGUGGUGUUGAAAUUAGUUUGGAAAAAUGAAAAAAUAAAAUACAGCUCUUUAUGAUGACUGGGGCAAAAUGAUUUUGCAACACCUCAGUUACUUUGCUCCCAUCUGAGAAAAUGCUGCUUGUGUUCAAUAGCUCUUGUUAGCUUGAAAAUCUCUAGAAUUACAUAAAUAAUAAAUGGACCCAAAAUGCAUUGGUUUUUCAUAACGUAGAUGACGGUACAAUGUCACCUCAAAACUGAAAUUUGCAUUGUAGAAUAAUUUAGUUAUCUUAUUCUUUAAAGACAUAAAGGGCUAUGAAUAUUCAUAGUUCAAUUAAAAUAUUAAUGGUAUACUGAUAUUUUAGUUUUCAGUCUCUAGCCAUCUAUAAAGAGUUUCUUUAAACUUGAUUAACAGUGAAGGAUAAGUUAGCAUAGAGUAUAGUACCUUGUAUCUUGUUUCUGAAAUAAAAAUGUAGCACCUGAUGUAUAAAUAAUUUGAUAUACUAAAGCAGUGCAUCAUUUCUUUUCAUAAGAAAAAUAUAGUAAAGCAUGAGAAUAGAAUGAGUGUUGUAUUUUCAAUGAAUUAGUUGCUUGUAACUUUUUAAAGUUUUAUUUCUUGUGGUGCUAGGGAUCAAAUCCAGUGCUUUGUGCAUGUCCAGCAAGAUCUGUAUUGAUGGGCUACACCCAAGUCCUAAAUUUUAAUUUUUUUUUUGUCCUUGUGUUUUUGAGACAGGGUCACGCCAUUCUGUUCAGGCUGGCCUUGGGCUCAUUUAGUAGCCUAGCCUGAUCUUGAACUUGCAAUGACCCUCCUGCCUCAGUCUCCUGAGUGAGGAGAUUAUAGGAGUAAGCCACCAUGCCUGGCAUUUAAAUUUUUAAUUACGGUAAAAAAGAAUACUAUAGUGCUGUUUAUUUUCUUAGCCUCAUUGUUAGAGUCCUAUGUUAUAGAAGCACGGAUGUUUCUGAAGCUUCUACAUUCAGAGAGAAAAUAAGAGCCUGCUUUCCAAUGUUGUUUAAACCAGAUUUUUCAAACAUUUAAUCAAAUAAAUUUAAUCUAUUUAUAUUUCUGUCAUCCAUUUGCAUUAAAGUCCCUAUAUUGUUUUACUUUAAGGCUUAUAUAAAUGGGAGUUUUCCUUAAUAUUAUUUAUAGAUACAAUGAUGAUUAGUUAUCUUCCCGUUUUAGUGUGAAUAGGAAUAAUGAUCACAAGAGUAAUGAUCAAACAUUCAGAAAAGUAUAUUUUAAAUGGCAAUAGAAACAAAUCACAAGGAUCAGAAUUGUCAUUUCUCAAGGUAGUCAGAACAAUUUUCAAACAAUAAUUGUAGAUUAAUAGAAUAAAACAAUUGAGUAAAAAAAUACAAAUGAGCUCAGGGAUAUUUAAAACAUUUUUUAUAGGUGAAUGCAUAAACUUCAUUGUGUAAAAGUUAAAAAUCAGUAUUACUGAUUUUUUAAUGUUUUUACCAACUUUAUUGAAAUAUGAUUCACAUUUUAAGUAAGUCACAUGUUUAAAGGAUACAACUCAGUGGUAUUGAAUAUGUUCAGAGAAUUGUGUAACCAUUACUGUGGCCUAACUUUAGAACAAACUUUUUGUUUUGUAAUAAAGCUUUUGUUACUGUGGCCUAACUUUAGAACAAACUUUUUGUUUUGUUUUACUUUUGUUUUUCGCAUUCUAAUCAGAUCCUUUACUUUUCUUUAUUUACUUGAUUUUUUUUGAAACUUUGUUUUGUCUUCAAACACUAGCGUUGGUCUUAACCAAAUUUUAAGCUAUUUUUCAAAUACUCGUCCACAUUUCCAACUCUGUUUUCUCACGCACAUAAUCUCUUGUGUAACUUACUGUUUCAUUCAUUUUUUCAGUGUUUAUUGAGGCCCUGCUGUGCACUAGAUACUGAAGAACAUUGGUCUGGUUGGGAAAACAAUACUUGUAAUCUAGUAGUGGUGCCAAUUCAGGGAUUAAAAUGCUUUUAUAUGGAUAUAGUGUAUAGGAUGUUUUGAGAAGCUAGCAGAUGGCACUGAGUGAUGGAGGGAAGACUUCGAGGAAGAGAGCAUUGAUCUGGAUUUCAGAUAAUCGGUAGGAGUUAGCUUGGUAUACAGAAUAGAGAAUAUAAAGCAAGAGGAUUAUCAUAUGCAGAGUUUCAAAGACAUGAAAGGACCUGCUGCAUUUAGAAGAAUAUAAAUAGUUUAUUUAGUUGUAGAUCUAAGAGAAAAAGGAGAGGUAAAGCUGGCUGGAGAGAUGGGAGAGAGGCCCAAUUUUGCAAAACCUUUAGUGUUACAUUAAGAAAUGUCACCAUUAUCGUGUAGGUAAUGAUAGACUUUGAAGGAUCUUAAGAAGAAGAAGAAAUAAGAAAACUGAUAAAGAAUUUUAAGUAGAGGAUUUGUAUAAUCAGAUGUUUGUAGGUGUUUCGUGUAUAAAUUUGGAUAGAUAGGGCAAGGGAACAAUGUAUCUGAUGGUGUAAUGGUGUACUGAUUAUUCUGGGAGGGACUAGGCAGAGUAGACUAUAGACAACAGAACCUUGUGCACCUAAGCAUAUAAGGACUUUGGAGAAUAAUCUUACUCUCUGUCUCUGUCUGUCUAUCUAUCUGUCACUUUUCUCUUAAUUUUCUCAAAGCCCUUUUCCCUAGAUUUCUUUUUUCUUUCAUUUAGAAGCAUCCUCAGUACAGUUGAAUAUGAAAUUGGAAGUAUCUUUGAUAACUAUUUUGCUUAAUUUGUCCCCAAAUUUCUUUUGCUUUUUUUCCUUAGACCUUUACAGUUUGCUUUGUAUUACCUUUCUCUUGUAUCACUGUUUUUCAUACCUUUUUUUGGCUAUUAUGGUUUUUUAACUUACAUUAAAAUUUUCCCCUUAUAUUUUUAUAUAAUAUAUCAUCGUUCCAUGUAAGUUCUCUUAUGACAAAGAAUUUGUUGCUUUAAAAAAAAGUUUUGAAAAUGGUGAUUUAUAACAAGUGUAUGUCCUGGCAUUCAAGGCCCUGUGGAAUCUAUAUCUAAUUCAUCUUUUUAAUAUAAAUCUUGGCAUCAACUUAAGGCCUCUGCCUUUCUGUCAUAUUUAAUCCUUCUCUAUUUCUAUGGAUCCCUUUCUUUAUACUGUUUUCUUACCUUCUUAUCCUCUCCCCUCAUGCAAAGGUCAAACUCCAUGAUUUGUGUUUCAUUUCAUUUAUUCAGUAAAUACUUACUUUGGCACUAUUAGGGGAAGCGCAAAUAUAACAGUGAACAAAAUUCACUGCCACUCUGGUGCCUAUAUUCUCUCUGGAAGAAGAAAAAGAUUUUAAUAGUAAAUGAUAAAAAAAAAUCAUGGAGGAAAGAUGCUAUAAAAUGUCAGUAUAGAAACUUUUAGAUUGAUUGAAAAGGAAAAGCCUCUCUGAGAUGUUUUCUUUUCAGAAAUCUGAAGCACUUGACAUACUCUUGGUACUCAGUCUUAGACAUGUUACUGUGUUAUGAAUGCAAUUUGAUGGAUUUUAACUCUGUUUUAGGCUCCUUAAGCUAAGAACCAUUUGUAUUAGUUGUUUGUAUUCUUCAUGCCAUUUUUAUUGCAGUGAAAAAGAUAUCUUAUGCACAAGGAAUUGACACAAUAUCAAUAUACACAAAUAGAAAUCAUUUAUAUCUGUUAGAUUGUUGGGAUUCUAUAUGUUAAAUAUUUAAUAUUUGUUUCAUCUAAUAUUCAUUAGUCUGGACACAUGAUUUUCAAAAGGAAAACCUGGAGAAUAAAGACUACUUGCCAGUAUCCACUCAAUUCAUUUCUCUUGGAGGUUUUGAAUGAGGAAGUAGUGUCUUUGAAUUUCAUAAGGAAAACUGAUCUGAGGGAGGACCCUGUCUGACUGCAGAGCCAAGUGAAGUACAAGUGCUUAGGCUGGUAUUGGAAGAUGGAGUCAACAGCUAGUUUUACUCACGUGAUUUUCUUUAUUUACAAGGCAUUUACAUGUGAGACUGAACCAAACCUAUCCAGUAAAAUGUUCAAGUCAUUGUUUGAACCAAUCAAAAAAACAGAUGGGUUGAAUAUAUGAUUAAUAGUUGAGUUUACCAACCAAAUGGUUGAGUAUACUAAGCAGGAAAUUGAAAUGAUUAGAAAGAAACUUAGGAUGGGAAGCUCUAAUUUUGUAGUUCAGUUUUGUUUUUUGUGGAAACAGUUAUCCUUAGAAGAGUUAAAUUUGCUGCCAACAAUGAUGUGUUACUGCUACUGCUUUUGUUUUGAACUUUGAGAAAAAAAUCCACCCCAUACUAUAGUUUGACUAGUUCUAGCAGGUUUUUUUUUUUUUUUUUUGAUCUUUCUUUUUCUAUUUCCCUUCGUGAGAGACUGUACACUAAUUUCAUCACACAUACGGACCUGUGUAGAGGUGCUAACCAGAGUUUGAGUUGAGGAUUUCCCCUUGAGGAUUUGACAUUUUCUGUUUUUGACAUUUUUACCAUGGUUAGACAUACUCCUUUGUAUUUUUGCCCUGUAUUCAUCUCCUAAGGGAAAUUGUGUAUUUUAUCUACUGAAAGGCUGGAAUGCCUUCUGUUUUGGACAAGCCAUUUAAUUGUUCAAAUAAAUCCAUCUUUAGGGUAAUAGAGCAAUCAUUAGGAACUAGACUGUGUGGCAGCAUUUAUAUUCAUGAGACCCAGAUCUUCAAUUCAUUCCAAAAAUAAAAUUAAAUACCAUGUACAAAGAAUGAAUGAUUUCUUUUGCUUCUUCCUUCUUCCUUGGUCUUAUUCUCUCUCACAAUUUAAAAAUAUUAAAUGGCAUCCUAAAAAGAAACAAAAUAUUAUUUGUUUUAUUUAUAAUUUCAUUAUUUAGUGUUUUCUAUUUGGGAAUAAUUUACUUGCUACGUGUAAAAUAUGAACAGAUUACCAUUUGCCAUUAAAUUAUUUGUCUGUAUAAAAUGAAAUAUUCUAAUAAAAGAGACAUACAGACCUAGGACUUAUUUUUUGUGUGUCUUUUCCUGCUAUUUUGAUAUACUUUCAUGUAAAUAAGUGCAUACACAUAUACUGUAGUAUUCAUAUUUCCUAACAACAGACUUUUUAACCCUGUGUUAUUUGCAUGAAAAUAGUCUUCUGGAAUCAAGUCACAGGUAUGAGUUUGUUAAGGAUAUUGUUUAACAAUCACUUGGUAGAAGUGAUUUCUUUUAAGUCUGCACAUAAUUGAGUUAGACAUGAUGGAUACUUUACUGUAUUAUGAAAGCAUAUAGUUGGAUUUGAGUAAUUAAACAAAUACAGCUUUGAGGAUUUGUUCAUAUUGUUUUCUUAGCCUUGUGCUAAGGCCAGUACAUGUAGACUUGGAACACUGGUGUGUGUUGUGAUCUGAAAUGUGCUUUGAGUCUCUUGAGGCUAAGUAGCUCUCUAUUUUUUGCAUUUAGAACUCCAGGAUUCUCCUGAGAUUAUUCUUGGGCCAGAAAUUUCUGGCAAGAUCUGACCUUGAGUUCUUUGCAGGUUAAUUAUAAACCAUUUCCCUUAGCUGGCAUGUGUAUACGUCUCAGUAAUUCUUCUUGAUCUUCAUAAGUAGUGAAAUACAGGAGAGAAAAUGCCGUGAAGAAUACCGACUGUACUGUUCACAGCUGUAGUGCAGCAAGUAUGUUUUUAUAAGUGAAACAAGAGAAUGAAUAACAUGUAGAAAAAAAGAGAUUUGUCAAGGCAAGCCUGGAGAUACUACUCUAUUGCUCUUGUUGUGGACUCUGACUUUUCUUCAUUAGUUCUCAGUAUCUCGAGUUUAUUAUCUGAAAUUAACUCUGGUAAUCCUUUCCCAGCAGGCAUAACCUUCAGAGUUUGAGAUAAUCUAGCUAAAAAUCUAUAAGCUACAGGCCAUCUUGUUCCUUGAAUCACUAAUGUGUAUAUAAUUAUACUAUAGUAAUGUAUUUGUCUUUGGAAAACUGAAAUGAAAGUAAUAACUAAGGAAGUCCAUUUGUCAGAUCUUUAUGGUAAAUAAGCAUAUUGGAUCUUGAUAGAUGAAAUAUAAUUAUUCUGUAAUUAUUGCACUUCUAGAAAGUCUUUUCUACCCUCUCCUGAUCUCUGCCCCUUGUAAUGUUGUCCUUAUCCAUCUUAUUCACUGUCAUGUCCUUAUCCAUCUUAUUCAUUGGAUCUGGUACUAUACAACUUCUGGCUUUUCCUCAUCAUCAAAAUUACCAUGAAAGGUAGACAUUUUGAAUCAGUUCAGGACAUAGAGGUGUCCCUGAUGGUACAACUAAAGACAUUCAUGAAUGAGGACUUCCAGAAUUUCUUCUGAAAGAGGCAAGAAUGUGAAGGAGUUAUUUGUGAGGGGGAUUAAUGACCUUGUGUCCUUUACUGUAAUACAUUUAAAAAUUUGGAAUGUUCAUGUAUAUUUUGAUCAUACUCAGAUGUUCAUAUACAUGUGCUUCCUAUUACUAGGCAUUGUGCUAAGCAUUGUAAAUAUAUGCCUCACUUAAUCCUUGGAACCUUAUAGAUAGAAUUAUUCUUACCCUGAUUUCUGUCUCUAUAAUUUUCUGUGUGUGCCUUCUAUGUGUGUCAUUUAUUUCUCUUAUCCCACAGCCUUCAUGCUACAUUUGUUGAGUAUUUCUAUCUUUGACCUAAGCUGGAUUUCAUUGUUUUUAACUGCACUAGACAAUGCUAUUUAUUUUAUUUUACAUUUCUAAAAAAAAAUCUACUAUGGAUUUUUGAGAAAACUGGGAUUGUUCUGGCUGUUUUCUUAGAUUUCCUAAUGUGCUACCACAUUUUGGAAAAGACAACAUUAGGCUGUUUUUUAAAAUAGGAAAACAUCAAAUUGCUUACAUUUGCGAAAUGAAUUCACAGUAAAACUUCUUAUAAUUGAAUUUUACAACCUGGUCUUGGUGGUACAUGCGAGACUGAGGCUGGAAUAUCACAUCACAAGUUCAAUGCCAGCAAGAGUUGCAUAGCAAGUUCAGAGGCACUCUAGACUACAUAGUGAUUUCCUGUCUCAUUGCCCACUUCAGUCAGAUUUUCCUGUUUUCAAGUCUUACUCUUUAUGAUAUAUAUCCCUGUUUCCAUACUUCUGCUGGGUUUUUGUUUUGUUUAUAAUUAUUAAUUUUAUUUGGGAGUGUGGUUAAGCAGUAUGACACUUCUGUAAAAGAAUUCACCCCUCCCCCCAGUAAAUUGUCUACAACAAUAAGAGCAGCAAGAAUUCCCCAAAGUAGGAUGAUCUUUGCAGCUCCUGCUUUGUUUCUUCACUGCUGUCAUAGCUCUUUCCUUUUCCAAGUGUGAACAUUAUUUUCAGUUUGGUUGCUACAUGAGUGCAGUGUAUAUAACUCAUCACAGCUUUCAUAGCUGUAAUAUCCACGCGAGAUCUCUAAAAGCAGCAAAGACACUGUCUUGGUUACUUUUCUCUCAUUGUUGAGACAAAAAUACCUGAUGCCCAAAAUGAAGGAAGGAAAGGUUUGCUUACUGUACAGUUUUUGGAAGUUUCAGUACGUACUCCAAGACAUGAUGCCAUGGCUAAAGGGCAGCUGUUUAUGGCAGCCUCAAGCAACAAGAGCAAAAAGGGGAAAACACGUCUCCUUCCUUCCCUGAAUUGUAUGCUAGCUACUCACCCCUUAGUGAGUACAGUAUUCUCACUGCCAAUUCCAUUGCUAGACAACGAACUAGUCACUAGCUAAAGAAAAAGCUAGAUUCAGCCACUUCCAUGGCUACAUGAGGCUUUAGUGGGUCAUUCAAACACAAACAGACCCCUUGUCUUUUGAGUUUUCUUCACAAUUCAGGCAAACAAACCUUUACCAGAAGGUCCUCAUGUCUCAUGAGCCUGAAAUAUAAAUGUUUUUAAACUCAUCCCUUGCAAGGGCAUUGGGUCUGUCUUAUAAGGAAUGCUCUUGUCCAGAACAACAAAAUCGAGAUUCUUCAAGAAAAAGAAAUUGUGGAUGGUAAGAAUUUGGAUAAGCAAUCAAAUUUUCAGUUCUCUAUGUGUUCUUCAACAUACACAGAGUAUCUCCCUCAGCCAGCCAGGUAAUUCGUAUCAAUAUUGAAUGUUGCAGUAAGAGUGUUUCUAGAGGAUCCACUUUAUUGGUCUGAACUAGAUUCUGCGGCAAGACCUAACAUAACAGUGACCUCUACAGUAUACAUGCUUUUUCCCUUAUUUGUAAAUAAGAAUAGAGUUCAGGCCUGGUUAAUGACCUUGUUCAACAAUAUUCUUGAUGAGUCAGGCUCCUUUCAAGAUGUGGUUCUGACAUGAGUUUAGCUCAUUUUGUGGCUGAACCAUGACAGGGUGACAGGGACUAAAUUUAAAGCGGUCCAAAGAAACUUAGUCUAGUUAUCUUUUCAUGAAGGUUACAAGAAGCAACCAUACAACAUUUUCAUGUUUGUUCUGCUGGCCAAAAUUUAGAUCAGUGACUGCAAGGGCCAGAAUGAUUUUGCUAAAUAUAUGAUGCUCAACUAAAAAUCAGAGGAGAGUCAUUAUUAACCACCACUGUUUUCUGCCACAGGCUUUUAGUCUAAUCAUCUGCAUAAUUAGUGAAUAGAUAAUCAGUUGUUAGUAGAUGAACUUCAUUUACCUACAUUUUUCCUUUUGAAAGCUCUAUCAUUUACACCAGAAUGAUGUUAAAUGUUCUAGAGACUACAGAACCUUAUAUGUGUAACUCUUCUGCUUGCUGUGGUAGCUAUAAGUCACAUGAAGCUAUUAAGUUCUUGAAAUGAGGAAGAGAAUCAUUAAUUUUAUUUAAGAUAGGAGCAUACUGAUUAAAUUAUUGGAAACUUUUAGUUCUGGAACAACUUAGAUAUGUGAUUCUACUUUUGUAAGUAUAAAUUUUAUGAAGCCCAAGUACAGAUCAAUUAUUUAGUACACAAUGUGUGAGUUCAAUUUUGCUUUAACUAUAAAAUGUAAACUGUAUUCAAAAUUUAAAAUAACAAAGUAUGUUAAUUUUGGUCAUGACUAUAUAUUUAAUUGAUAACAUUUUACAUAUUUUAGAUUAUAUAAAAUAUUAAUAAAAUCAAUUUUAUCUCUUAUUUUGUAUUUUUUAUGUGGCUACAGGAAAAUUCACAAUUAUGUGUGGUUCACUUUAUGUUGUUGGUUGGCAUUAAUGUGAAGCUUCAUUUCUCAGUCCAAGAUUCGACUUUGUAAAUGAAGAAGCUUCUUCACAUCCAUUGAUUUUUUUUUUGAAGGAAGUAGAAAUUUUCAAAAACAGUACAGAUGGACUUUAUCUUUUUUUGUUAUAUGUUUUUUUCUGGAUGCUGUCAAAUUCUCUUCUCUUUAUGUUUGUCUUUCUCUGCCUCUUCCACAUUGUCAUGAACCAUUGGUCACAUUUGUUAGCCCCAACUGUGCUUCAUGUAAGAUGUGAGGACUAAUUGCUGUUUAAGAGAGGAUCACCUUACUGUGUAAUGUGCAUGUAGUGUACUUUAUUGAAUAUGGUGUGUCAUUUUGUUUUUGAUGACAAACACCCAGUUAGUCUUGUUAGCAUUAAGUACCACAUCUACUGUGUUGUUUUUGGAUAUUGACUGUUUCUAAGACAGAUAGGCCAAAUCUUUUCUUUGAAUUUGAAUUAUGUUCAAAUACCUCUUGUCAUUUAUUAUUUCAUUUAUUUAGGUGUCUGUAAUGGGAUAGGGAAAUGUGGUUUCAUUCUCAUAGUACAAGAUGCAAGUUCAUGCCAAAUUAACAUUAUUACCCCUAAAUAUCAUACUGUAAGAAAAUUAUAGAAUAAAUACUAGAAAUUACUCAUAUCUUUGAUUUUGGAAAUUUUCAAAUGUUCUUUGGAUUACCUCGCAUUUUUGCUUCAAGUCACUAAUCACCUAUAGAGGUCUUAGGGAAGGUGUCUCACCUUGCGGUAUUUUAACCUCAUGGAUUGCUUCAGUAGCACUAGUUUGCCUCACAGUAGUGUGAAUCUUCAAAGAAUAUGACUGCAAAUGCAGUUUGGACCUUUAGUAGCAAUAUUAUUGUAAGAUAUUUUCUCUUCAGGCUUAAUUUCUUGUUCAGUGAAAUGAGGGUGGUGUACUUUCCCACUCCCCAGAUCACCUAUAUUCAGAGUAACCUCUAUUCUUUUCAUUAAUGGGGAGAAUCAUUGUUUCAAGUUUUCCAAUAAGGCAGAUAUUUUUUUUAAAAAAGAUAAUGUCUCAACAUUUAUGUAUGUUCUAUGUAUGGAUGAGAAUCAAACCACAUUUCCCUAUCCCAUUAUAGACACCUAAAUAAAUGAAAUAAAUGACAAGAGGUAUUUGAACAAAAUUCAAAGAAAAGAUUUGGCCUAUCUGUCUUAGAAACAAUCAAUAUCCAUGUUCAUUUAUUCAUUUAUGUAUGUAUGUUCUAAGGAUGUAUAAUUUAAGAAGUAAAAGCAAAAAAAAAAAAAAAAAGAAAAAGAAAAAAAGAAAAACCAAGUCUAGUUAAGGAGAAAACAAGAAUCUUCACACAUUUGCCAUCUUCUCGCACUCCCUUCCCCCAGCUUGUCGGACAAAAUUUUGUUUCUGAAACAGUUUUAAACUCUGCUGGCUUCAUUUCUUAACAUUUCAAGACUUUCUCUGGCCAUAUAGGAAUAGAUAGUUAUGAAAAAGCCUUUUUCUUAACUUCUAUAAAGAAACCAAUUUUGUAUAAACUGUGCCAAGAAAGUACAUAAUUAAAUAUCAUUAUACACGUGAAAGCAGAUUUGGUGUGAAUUACCUGUCCUGAGAAUAAUCUCUAACGACUGCCUUGUGAGAGCACAUAGGAAUAAAAGAAACACCAAAUCUAUUGCCUGGCCUCUCUUUUGUUAAUGUACUAAAGUUUUAAAAAAUCAGUAGUUUAUUUAGCAUAUUUUUUAUUAACCUCUUUGUGAGUGAGACUGUUAUUUCAGAGGUAAAAAUCUGAGACUGUAUUUUAACUCAUUGAAACUCUGGGUGUUGAUAUUAUUUGGUUGAUAUUAUUUGUUGACUUGGAGUACUUACUGAUAGCCUUGUUAUUUCUAUAUGAAAGACAUUUCCCCUUUUCUUAGAAAGAUCUAAUAAAUAUAUCUACUGGGAUAAAGUAGUCUGAAGAAAUAUCACACACUCACACAUAUUUAAAAAUCUAGCAUUACCUCAUUUUCUUUUAUUCUUCUAUGUUGUGAAUCACUCUGAAUUGUUGUAUAUAUUUUCUGCUAUUCUAUUCACAUUUGCUAGUAGAAACCUAUCAAAAUGAAUUAAACAUUUUAAUACACUCUUCCUUGUUCUCUCCCUAUUCCUUUACAUUAGAAAUUGCCAUUUCUAAUUCUUUCUUAGUAGUGAGAAGGGAGAAGUUGGGCAAGUGGGUAAAGAGUAGAUAAGAAGAAUUAGCAGUUUUCUAUUUUUCUUUAUCCAUAAUGAUAGAGAAUAGCUCUACCUGUGUUCUCUGCAGCUAUGGAAGCAGUUGUGGCAGCUGCUGUAUCUUAAGGUGUGAUCAUGACCUUUGCCUUUUUGCCAGGACAUUGCUUAAAAAUAGAGCUGGUGGUGGAGUGAAGUCAAGCUGCAUGGCUUCCUAAACAUCUGGACCUUUUGUCUGUUGCCAGCAGAGGCCUGGCAGUGACAAAGCUCUGUUCCGAAUUUCUGUUUUGAAGAAAGCGUGCAAACCAUCUUUGGGUCCUUCGGGCAAUCCCAUCGAGAUCCUGCACCUGCCCACCCAGCUGGUCACCAGUUAACAGGGGGUCCUGAUGACAACUUAAUUGAAGGUGGAGGAACAAAAUUUGUGUGCAAACCUGGAGCCAGAAACAUUACUGUCAUAUUUCACCCAUUACUAAGGUUUAUUCAAGAGAUUGAGCAUGCCAUGGGACUUGGCCCAGCCAAGCAGUGUCCUCUUCGAGAGUUUCUCACUGUAUACAUCAAAAACAUCUUCCUCAAUCAGGUCUUGGCA